GUUGAGUUUAAUUCAAGUUCUUCUUGAGAGAUUUCAAGCCGGUCGUUAACAAAGAACAAGACUUUUUGAGUUAAAAGAGCUUCCAGUGUUUAUAAAUAUGUGGUUGAGUUGAUGUGUUGUUUCAACUCUCAAUGUAUACACCCACGUGUAUGCAUCUAUUCACAUAAAAAUCUCACAUGGAAAAUUUUUGGUAUGUCUUACAAAUCUUCACUAUGCUACUAAUAGAUUGGAUUUGAAGAAUCUGCGUAUUUCUGAGCAUUUCUAGGGUUUUGUGCAAAUUUGUUGCCACAUACAUAUGUAUGUAUGUAUAUGUAUAUGUAUGCAUGUAUGUGUAUGUCUUCAAAUUUUGAACUAAGGGCAGCUCUAUAAUGUAAACAUUAUCAAUGUCACAUACCUAAUGUAUGUGUGCUGUCAAACACUUUUAGACUGUGGUAUUUUGUCCAAGGAAAGUCUGUUUAAAGGCAGGUGAAACAAAUUACUCUAGAGAUGAACGACAGAGACAGAUAUCAAUAUUUCACUGUUAUUUCAGAUUAUCACUGCCAUAUACUUGAUUUGCUCUGGAGAUGAAUUCAAAUUGCUGGCCUGAUGUAUACACAGAUAGGGUAAAAGUUUAUUUACUGGUAUGCAACUACAGCAUACAAGUAAAACAAAAUUUUGGCAAAGAAACAAAUCUAAAAUUUAAACAUUGUUGAUGUCACAUACUUCAUGUAUGUGUGUUGUGGAAUACAUUUAGGUCAUGGUAUUUCAUUCCAGAGGAAUUCCCAUUAAAGAUAUAAUGUAUUAAAGAAACAGUAUAAUACAGAGCCACUUCAAAAUCUUAUAAGGAUGUAUGAGGCAUUCUCAACCUAUUGCAUAACAAACCUAUGCACAAACACACAAAGCAUGCCUCUCUGUGUGUGUGUGUGUGUGUGUGUGUGUGUGUGUGAGUGUGUGUGAGUGCUAGAGAGAGAGAGAGAUUGUAUGUGUAUGCGAGAGAGCAUAAAUAUAUGCGCUAUUGGAUAAAACUCAUGAUAUAAAAUUAAUGCUUUUCUCAUUCUUAAGGAAGCAAGGAGGCAGAAUCAUGCUUAGCAGUGUUUCAUCCAUCUUUACAUUCUGAUUUCAAAUUCCACUGAGGUUAACUCUGCCUUUCAUCCCUUUCUGGAACAUGAUAAAUUAAGCACCUGUUGAAAACUGGGGUCGAAGUAUGGACUUACCCUCUCCUCUGAAAUUGUUGGUUUUGUGCUAAAAUUCGAAAUUAAUAUUUUACUCAUUUUAUCAUGGUGAUGUGACACAAUAAACCUGAAUGCAGUAAUUUGAAUAAUUAUUAUUAUUAUAAUUCUAUUAUGUACUAGAGUCCAAAAAAGAAAAAAAAUCUUUGAUUGCCUUCCCCCCCCCCCAACUAAUUUCUGGUCAAGUUUAUUGUAGUUCUAUCAUUUCAUCAUCAUCCAAAACACAUGCCCUCAACAGGCCCACAGCAAAGGAUGCAGCCUUCCCCUAAUUCAACCUUUCCAGAUCAUAAACUAACCCAGCCUAUGGCCAAUAUAGUAACACAUUCAAGAUUAACUACACCAUUAAGUAGUGUUUCAAUAGGCAGCUAAUCUGUUGGCAGUUGUUGUUGAUGUUUAGUCCCAGAUCAGCCUACAUCAAUCCAACCAAAAGUCACACACAAACCAUGACCAUCUUGUCUUCUGAGAUGUAGUUCAUCCCAGACUACAUUAUCCACUCUGUCCUCUCUUUUUUAAAAUCAACAGAAAAUGAUUUGACAGUGAUUUGGUUGCUACUUCUAGCAACCAUAUAUAGAGGUUAACCUCACCUGUUUAUAAUGACGUCUGUCACCUCUCCUGCUAUAGUUGCCAUUGGCUUUUCUAUAAGAGGCUCUUCUGUACAUCAAUAUGUUUUAAUUAUAAUUCUGCCCAGCAGUUAUGUCUUUCACUAUAAGUUUACUAUCAAAAAGAAUAUCUUGCAUGCUCGUGAACUGCUCAAAUAAUUAUUUCCCUUAGGUCUAUACUAUAAUGUCAUUUUUCCUUGCAGCAAAAGUGUCUUGCACAAAUAUAGAAAGAAAUAAAGCUAGAGCUAUAUGAAUUUUAUAUAUUGAGGGAAAUGAAAUAUAAUAUAUACAUGUUUAUAAAUGGUAUAAAUUCUGGUAAGAAGAUGUAUUAAAAUGUUUCAAGACACAAACAAUAAGCAAUAACAUGGAAACUCAAUAUGGAGAUGAUUAGAAUUAUGAAAAAAAAAACUCAUUUAUUUAGUAGUUAAUCAGUUCAUAUUGCAAAAUAUCCAUUGAGUAAUAUACUAUUUAAAAGAAUUUAUUUGAAUAACCAUUGUACACAUGUUCCAUCAUUUCUUAAGCAAUUGGGAUCUAAAUAAAUAUUUAAAAUAUCCCACCCAAAAUGUUUGUUUUUACACAUUGAAGAAUAUGUUUGUUAAAUGAUGAUGAUGAUGAUGAUGAUAAGUGUGUGUGUGUGUUUGUGUGUGUGUGUGUGUGUGUGUGUGUGUGUGUGUGUGUGUGUGUGUGCAUUCACAUAUAUACAUACACUUACAUAUAUGUAGGUAUGUAUGCAUGCAUGUAUGUGUAUUUUUGGAUAUUAGAUGGGUUUAAAUAGACAAACAGACAAAAGACUGAUAGAUAGGUAGAUAGAUAGAAAGAUAGAUAGAUAAAUAGAUAGAUAACUUUCUUUUAUUAGCCACACAGGGCUGAAUACAGAGGGGACAAAUACAAAUGCAGAGCUUUUCUUUUCGAGGGUGGAAAAAAAUAAAAAAUGUAAGAUUGCGAUUACGCAUACAUAUAGAUGUGUGUGUGUAUGUUCACAUAUAUACAUACACACAUAUGAUAUGUAUGGAUAUUAAUGAUGAUGAUAAUGUGUGUGUGUGUGUGUGUGAAAACAUAUAUAUACAUGUGUGUGCUUCCACGUAUGUACAUAUAUGAAUACACACAUAUAUAAAUAUGUAUGUGUGUAUAUGUGUCUAUCUAGUCCUAACUUUGGCAUCAAUUCUGCAAAUUUGUUGCAGAGGGGUCAGUUCACUAAAUCAAUAUAAGGUAUAUAUGUCAUCUACACUAGAAGAAAAUGAAAGGCCAUGUCAAAAACACAAGAAUAAUUUCAAAACUCAAAAUAUAAAGAAUGUUGUAACUGAAUGUUGUAAAGAAUUUCAUUCAGCAUCAAUAUUUUUGCUAUUCGGCUGCUCAAUAUAUAAAGAUGUUAUAAUUGUUUAACCCAUGGUCAAUCCUGAUUGAGCAGAUCGAUGAGGCAAGGCAUUCCAAACAGGAUCUUCCUGUCUUUUUUCUGGGAUUAUAUGUAUGUAUGUAAAUAAGUAUGUAUGUACAAGUGGGUUGCUGAAAAGUUCCUGGCUUUGACUAAUAGAAAAUACAGGAAGAUCAGUUAAUUAUGAUUUUAUUUGAUAUAUUCCCCUCUCAGAUUCACACACUGACUGUAGCAGUCUAUUUUUACUAAGCCCUAUAAAAAAAAUACUUGGAAGGUUGGGCUUCCAAUCAGGCCUUUCAAGAUACUCUUAAAGCCAGGAACUUUUCAAUACCCCCUUGUAUGUGUGUAUGUAAACCUAUAACUAACACUGAGUUUGGAUUUCACAAAUUGAUAACUGGUGUUAGCUUGUAUAUGCCCUUAUAACUUAGCAGUUCAGCAAAAAUAGAACGAUAGAAUAAAAAAUAGACUUAGUAAAAAAAAAGGGGGGAGGUUAAGUUGCAUGAGUAGCAUGAGUUUUAUUGCUGCAGAGCACUAAUAAGAAACCGAGAUGACAAAGGAAUAAACAAUGAUUUUAUGGAUUUCAUUAGCUUUCAACCGUUUCUGCUAUACGAUGCAGUGGACUGAUAGUUGAGUGUGUGAAUAACACCUUAGAACUUCAUCAGGGCUUCAAGCAUGAAGUGCAAUUUAUUUGGCAAAACAUUUACAUUUAUUUAUAUACACAGAAAAGCAUUACCAAUGAAAAAGCAUACACAUGUGUGGGGAAUGAAAUUCAGGAACUGCCAACAUAAUUAGAAAGGAACUCCUGCCAUAAUUAGAAAAAGGUUAAUUAGAAUAAGAUUAAUGCAAGGUAAUAAUUUCCUUUAGCUAGACAUGUAUUUCAGAGAAGACUGGAAACAAAUAACCCCGUUUAUAUGAAUACGAUGCUCAUUAACCAUCAUCAUGUCUAGACAAGGGUACACAUGCACAAAUACAUACACACACACACACACACACACACACACACACACAUAUAUAUAUAUAUUUAUAUAUAUAUAUGCAUACAUCAUUAUCAUUUAACAUCUGUUCUCUAUGCUUAAUGGGUCAGGCAGUUUGACAAGAAUUGGUAAAAGGUACCAAGCUGGCAGAAACGUUAGUGCGCCGGGUGAAAUGCUUUACAGUAUGUCAUCUGCCAUUACGUUCUGAGUUCAAAUUCCGUCGAGGUCGACUUUGCCUUUCACCCUUUCAGGGUCGAUAAAUUAAGUACCAGUUACACACUGGGGUCAAUGUUAUCGACUUAAUCCUUUUGUCUGUCCUUCUUUGUCCUCUCUAUGUUUAGCCCCUUGUGGGCAAUAAAGAAAUAAGUAUUGGUAAAAUUAGGGUCCACAACCAGGUUCCAUCAUCUGUCUUGGCUUGGUUUAUAUGGCUGGAUGCCCUUCCUAACACCAACCACUUUACAGAGUGUACUGGAUGCUUUUUAUGUGGCACUAUCACAGGUGCUUUUUUAGUUGCACUUGGACCAGUGCUUUUUUAUGUGGCACCUUGGUUUUAGAAUCUCAAUUCUGUUGUGGUGGGCAGGUCUUCUCAAGUACAGCAAUGCACCAGAUAUCUCAGUCCACUGUCAUCUCCUUUGUAAGAUUCAAUGUUCUGAGAUCGGCCUUCAGAACUUCCAUCCUAUGUCUUCCUGGGUUACCCUCUUCCACAACCUUCCUCCACCUUAAGUGAUACAUAAAUAGUAGUAAAAGAUGUGGUUUCAGAGGAUUAUGCAUUUAUCACAGAAAGCUCUUUCUGCAGACUUGGCAAUCAGUCCACAUGAUAAUCAAUUACAAAAAAGUGUAAUUAAUGUAGUGUCCAUGUAACUGAAAAUCCAGAAGAUCUGGUGAAUAUGCAAUUGUAUUAUAUAAUGCCAAGCAUACAUAUUAAUGCAAACAUGUAUGCAAAUUUCUUUCAUACUGAAACGAAUAUUAUAUGCAGAAGCUGGCCUUGUGCCAGAAUUUAUAACCAAUAUUAUAUAAAGAAGGCUGUGAAACAGGCAUAAUCUUAUGGCAGUCUUAUGGUUAAAGAAACAUCCAUUGAUCAAUCGUACCUCCUAACUUUAUGGGUUGUGUAUGUAUGUGUGUGUGUGUAUUUGUGUAUUAAGGCUACUAUUGGCCUCAUGUUAAGAAAAAUAUCUUCAUAUCUUAACAAUUUUUCAAGCUGAUCACAUGGAGGAAUGCUGUUCAUUUCCAUUUUGGAGAUGAAUAUCACUCCUCCAUGUGAUUGGCUCCAAAAAUUGUUAAGAUACUAAGAUAUUUUCCUUAACAAGGAAACCAAUGGUAGCCUUAAUACACAAAUAAAGAAAUUUUAUUCUCUAAUGCCGUGUUGUGCAUUCAUUCUUAUUGUUCAACAUUUACUUAUAUAUAUAUCUAUAUAUAUAAUAAUAUAAGGGUAAAUAAUUAAUAGUUUUUAAAAAAACCAACAAUUAUUUACAGGUAGAUUUCGGUAUGUAAAUAUAACCAUUAUCUGUAGUAACUAUUUUUUAAAAAGUUCUAUAUAUAUUUGUAUAUAAAUAAAAAAGGGGCAAGCAACAGGUUGCUUAGCCACCUGUGAAUUACAUGGAUAUGUUGUAUGUGGAGUCUUAUUUGUAGAAAAUAGAAAUAUAUAGUCUUUGACUGCUAUUUCUAAUUUUUCGGUAUGUGGCUAAGCAACCUGUUGCUUGCCCCCUUUUUAUAUAUAUAUGUAUAUAUAUAGACACACACAUACACACACACUCACUUACACACACAAAGAUGUGCUUCUUUCAGUUUCUAUCUACUAGAUCCACUCACAAGCUUUGGGUUGGCCUCAGAACAGACUUGCCAAAGGUGCUGCAUGAUGGGACUGAAUUCAUAACUACAUGAUUCAGAAGCAAGCUUCUUAACCAUACAACUAUUCCCAAGAGAUUUGAAUUAAGAAUGCAGAGAUUCCAAACAAGUGCUACAAGGCAUUGUAUCCAAGCUCUACACAACUCUGCUGAUUCUCUGCCCACAUUUACCAUCAACCAAAUUCUACCCACAAAGCAGUAAUCAGCCAGCCUGGGGGCUAUGAACAGAAGAUUCUAGACGCAGGAUGCCAUACAUUAAGACUGAACCAAAAACCAUAUAUUACUGUGAAAUAAACAUCUUGGGCCAUACUGGUAUGGAGUCCAAAAAUAAUUGUUACAUUUACCAGUAACAUGUUAGGGGAUUGUUAUUUAGAAAGACUACACCAAAAUCAGCAUGGAACUAAGCUAUCAUGUGAAAAGAAAAUCAAUAACCAUGACAAUUUCACAGAAAAAGAAACAUAAAAAGAAACAACAAUUUAUUUAUUAAAUGAAAGAAACAUUAGCUUUAUGUCUUCAUCAUCAUCACCACCACCAUCACUAUCAUCAUCAUCAUCAUCAUCAUCAUCAUCAUCAUCAUAAGUAUUAAGCUUUCUACUUUCCUGUCAUUUUCCCCUCCAAUCUUUCUUGUUGAUAUUUUUGUGGGUUUCAUAUUUCUAACAGUUUUUCCUUUAAUUUUAUUCCUUCUUAACAUUUCUAUCUUGUUUUUCUUUUUGUUUUGUUGUUCCAUUUUCCAAUUUUAUUUUUACCUAUUUUUUUAUUUAUUUAUUUGCUAUAUUUCAAUUCAAUACUUAUUUUUGUCAUCGACACCCCCUACUAACACCUACUCUUUUUCUCACGCCCUUUUUCUUCUCUCGUUUUCUUUCUUUCUUUCUGUCUUUCUUUUCCAUUCUUGAAAACUGAAUAGCCUUUUCUUCUUCCUCAAACAAUUAUAGAAUGUGCUAAGGCGUAAAUGAAAUCACAUUUAAACAUUAAUGCAUUCUAUAUAGCUGAAUAGGUUUCAAACAAUUCGUUCUUCUUUGUGUUGACAUACAGGCACAUAGAAAGAGAACUAUACACCAAAGACAAUACAUUACAUACAUAUAUAUGCAUGCAUAUUUAUAUAUACACACACACACACACACAUAUAUAUAUAUGUGUAUAUGUAUGUAUAUAUAUAUAAAUAAAUAUAUAUAUAUAUAUAUAUAUAUAUAUAUACUUUAUUAAUAUUUAGCAGUAGUAACAGAGUGACUCAAGGUCCAAGAGUUUCGUGUGUUGGCGCUUCUGCUAAAUAUAUAAUAUAAAGAAUAUAUUCUUAUUUUGAGUUUUAGUUUUCCUGUUUGCACCAACAUACUUAUAUAUAAAUAUAUAUAUAUGAAUGCAUAAGUGGUACAGCAACAUCAAAGGAAAAUUAACCGAGAAGAUAGCUUUCGUGUGCAGCAGAUGCACAGGGGCAAUAGACACCACGGAUACUCAGAAAACAGAUUCCAUCACACUCCAGGGAAAGAAACUAGAAGUAGCUGAUAGUUUCUGCUACCUAGGUAACCAAGUUAGUAGUGGAGGUGGAUGCUCAGAGAGUGUCACCACCAGAAUAAGAAUAGCCUGGGCAAAGUUUAGAAAGCUUCUACCCCUACUGGUGACAAAGGGUCUCUUGCUCAGAGUAAAAGGUAGAUUGUAUGAUGCAUGUGUGCAAAAUGCCAUGCUUCACGGCAGUGAAACAUGGGCUGUUUAGUUGAACAAAUCAGUGCCUGUACUUACUGUUUUGUUCAGCCUGAUAUUUAUUCAAUCAUUCUCUUUUGCCAAACUGCAAAGUUACGGGGGCCUAAACAACCCAACACCACUUAUCAAGUAGAGGAGAAGGAACACAUUACACACACACCUCUAUCUCCUAUUCACCUUUAUUUAUCGGGGUUCCUUUGGACUAUAUGGCCAUGUAAGUCGAAAGCAAUCUCACUAGCAGUGAUGCCAUGACAAAAACAUCUAACAUACUGUAAAAUGGUCGGUGUUAGGAGAGGCAUCCAGCCACAGAAGCAAUGCCAAAACAGAUUUUGCUGCCUGUCAUGGUUCUCCUUAUGAAAUAAUUCUUUUAUUCUUUUACUUCUUUCAAUCGUUUGACUGCGGUUAUGCUGGAACACUUCCUUGAAGGGGUUUUUUGAUGAACAAAUCAACCCCCAGGAUUUAUUUUUUUUAAGCCUUGUACUUAUUCUACCGGUCUCUUUUGCCGAACCACUGAGUUAUGGGGGUCAUAAACACACCAGCACUAGUUCUCAAACAGUGAUGGCAGGAAUAUAUACAGACACAAAGACUCACACACAUGCAGAUAUAUACAUACAUACACAAACACAAACACACACACACACACACACACACACACACACAUACAUACAUACAUACAUACAUACAUACAUACAUACAUACAUACAUACAUACAUAGGAUGAGCUUCGUUCAGUUUCUGCCUACCAAAUCAGUUCAUAAGGUUUUAGUCAGCCUGGGGCUAUAGUAGAAGACACUUGCCCAAGGUGCCAUGCACUGGGAUUGAACUAAUGUCAAUGAUUUAGGUACAAGACAAUUUUGUAGGGAGGAAAGUGGAUGGUUAGUUGAUCAACCCCCACACAUAGCAGGCACCUUUAUUUUACCAGUCCCUUAAGUAUGAAAGCAAAGCUGACCCCAUUUAUACUCUAAGUAGUCUAAGGAGUCAAUGUUUUAAUAAUUCAGCUAGUUAAGCAUAUAAAUUUAUGCUAUUGAUGUUUUGAAUACACCUUUAUAUUUUGUUUUCUUUCUUCAUAAUUUUUGUCUUUUUUGUCUUUUUAUUUUCAUAGUGUUUCUGGUAGCAGGUGUUGAAAGGUAAAAGUAUAUUUUACUCAAGUUGUUCCAUUUGCUGUUCUCUAUUGAGAUCAAGUCAGUCAAGAGGAAACGUAGAUUGACAAUGGCCUUAUCUCAAUCAUUUUAAUUAAUUGGAGUGCUUUGAUUAUUUUCCAUAGUUGCUUCAGUAAACAACUUGUCUUUAUGCUUCAGGUCACAUACCAUAUUUGAGACUUUAAAGGAAAGAUGAAUGUGACGAAUUAAAGAAGUACAAAUACCUCAUUGUAACUGAAGCAGCAGCCCUUUAACAAAAAAUGAACCACAAAUAACCCCUAAAGAAACAUGAACCUCAAAUAAUCUAUGGAAUAUUCUAACACAAGUAAAACCAUUUAAGAUAUUUUAAGCUUCUAUAGAUAUUUGCCUGAAGUUAUUAUUUUCCCUAAUGUUAGGGUUUUCUCUUUUUAAAAAAAACUUUUAUAUGCAAUUGUAAUAAUUCCUAUAUAUAACUACUCUAUAAACUGAAUCUUUUAAAUUUAAAUUUGCCUGAAGCAUUUGGUACUUUAUUUUAAAAAAAAGAAAAAGCCAAAAGGAAACAUUAUUUCUUCUUAUUCAUUUCGUUCUUUAAUAAUUCUAACAAUCAGCAAUUUAAAAUAUUAUUAUUUAAAGUUUGAGCAAUCUUUAAUCCUUGCAUCACAGUUCUUGUUGCCUUUCACAAUUUUAAUGGUUUUACUUCAAUAUAAAUUUAGUGUUUAUAUAUCAGUUAAGGAAAUAUUUUCAGAUUUGUUGGCUAAAAUCAAUUUUUCCUUUCAAAUAUAAAUGCAUUUUCUUGACAAUUCAGCCGUAUCUGACUUGUGAAUAUUCAAGCAAAACUACCCACCUAUAGCCUUCCUCUGUCUACCAUCUCUUGGAUUGUAGCAUGUGCUGGAAGAACCCUCCCUAGCCUACACAUCGACUCUGAUACGAUUCAAAGCUCAAUUUUGUUAUAUGCACUCUUCUGCCCAUCAACAAUUUACUAUAAAAUCACUUUACAUGUCAUUCCCCCCAAUAGCACCCAACCUUAUACAAUUUGUAUAGUCUUCACUAAGCUUCCAUACCCAAAUGCCUCAUCCAUGUGCUCACUGGACCCUCAUUUCAUAUCUACACUGACUCUGUGAACAAGGACAUUCUCAAAAGUGAUCCUAUAACGAUGUCAUAUCAAACUUGUUUCCUUCAAUGGCACUAAGAAACAAUAACUAUAAAUAUAUAAAAAAUAAUAAUUAUAAUACUCCAUUCCAUUAAACAUCAACACCAAAUCCACAAAAUCCACAAGGUCACCACAAAUGCUGACCUCACCAUCAGUGAGGAUCUCUCCAGGUAAACACACACCUUCAACAUAGCAAAGGCUACAUAACAAAGACUGGCCGUAGUCUUCAAGACCAGAAUAUACUUCAUCCCUGAACAACUGCUAACUCCCUACAAAGCUCAUUUGAAACUUACAAUGGAACACUGCUUCCACACUUGGGUUAGUGCUACUGACAUACACAGACUUCCUAACUCACAUUGUAAGCAACACAAUAUGUUAGACUGGCCUAAGCUGCUCACUAUCAAUGCAUAAACUGCUCACUAACACCACUCUAACCUCUGCAUGACACGGACAUACUGUCUUUUCUCUGCAUCUUCUACCACUGCCAUAGCAUUUCCCGCUCACUCGAGUUGGCUGAUCUUCACGGUGCCACUGUUGUUGCCACUACCACCACCACCAAUUACCACCACUCAGGUCCACCCAACCCACUAGUCUUUCCUCCCUUUGCCACCCAAAUUGUGACCACACCAGCAGAUUUGCACUAGCCACUAUACCUAGUUUUCUUUUCUGAUAUUGCCAGCCUUCUGAAAAUACUGCCCUUGCCUGUGUGUGUGGGUUUUUUACCCCCCUGCAACUGUUUCACAUAAACAUCAACUACAUUGGUCUCAAACUUUCAAAAGUUUUGGGGGCACAGCUGUUUUCUCCAUACUAAAUCAUUGAAAAUAAUUAUAUUUCAGAUAAGGUACUAUCACUUAUUAUGACUUUUACUUAUUUGGAUGUCAUUUUAUCUAAAUUUCAGAGAUAUUUGGCUAUUAUUUUUAGUAAGUCAAACUGUGACAGAGGUAUAGUCACUAAUUUACAAAAGGUCAGGUUAGAACCUUAAAGAUGUUUGACUGCAAUGUUGGUAAGCUGAAUGACCACAUGGAAACUCUUUCAAUGGUAUUCAACUCGGUGGAGACAUAGUGGAAAUAGAGAAACAAAUUUGUGACUUGAUCAUAGUUAUUUGGCUGACUGCCUGCAGGUGUGGCAUGGAUCAACAGCACUACUGCUACCACAACCACAACAGCAACAACACAAGCAACAAUUAUGUUGAGGUUCCAUUAUUAGCUUAUACCAUUGUUGGUCUAGUAAACUGAUAUUGAUCAUUUAGUGAGUGUUUAGAUGAAGGCUUGUAGUGUAAAGUUCUUCACUUUCUUUGUCAAAAAUUAAUAUCUGCAUUAGACUUGUCACCUAUCCAGGAGAACCUGUACUUCUUAUCUUUUUGUUGCUAUAGAAAGGGAAAAUGUUCACCAUAACCUUUUGAAUUCUUGCAAUUCAAAAAGAGAUUUAGAUUUUGGUCCUUUAAGCAAUUAGAUCAGUAGUUUACUUGUAUAGAUUUAUUUUGAUUAUGCUGUUCUAUAGAUUUAGAACUUAGAAUGAGAAUUUCUGUAAUAGAGACAUUAAAACAGUGGUUCUGAUAUUUUUGACUUCAUAGCAUAAUGAUGAUCAAACAAAAAUCAUUGUCAUAUUCUAAGUGAAAAGUUAAAAAAAAAGUGACUGACAAGUUUUGCAAGGAAACAUGGAAAAUUUAAAAGAAAGCAGUUUUACAGUUCAAAUUUUUUUUAAAGAUAUAGCAAACCAUUGUUUGCUUUGUCUUUUAUUAAUCAUAUUUGUGUAUAACAGCAUUAUGAAUUACGGUUCUCAAGACACUCAAAUAUUAGUAUGGAUUUUCAAAAGACUUUAAUUAUAUUUUAAAUUACUGAUGCACUUCACAUGAAAACUUUUAAAAAAUUGUUUUAAAGUUUUAAAAAAAUUGAGAAAAAUAAUUAUUAUUUAAAUUUUUUUUUUAAUCAUACUGUAUGUAACAAAAUUAUGAAUAACAUAUUCUUCAACAUGCUCAUGUGUUAAUAUGGAUUUUCUAUAACCUUAAAUUAAAUUUUUUUUCAUGAUUAUUUUUUUCUUUUUAGCAUUUACUUUAUUAUCUGAGUAUAGGUUAUAACUGAACAUAUCAAGCAAUCUGUCUUGUUCUUGUGAAUUUGAUUGGAAGACUUGGAUACUCCAUACAUGUUUUUUCUACAUUUUUUUAAUUAAAUUUUUAGUAAGAGUCAAAGAUGAGUUUAUGAAUUUUGUCCAGAGACUUUGGAGUGAAUUUAUUUAGUUUUGUGUGGUUUCUUUUAAUCUUAAAUCAACUCAUUCACUUUAAUUUACUUUGCUAUCUGUAAAGGUAUAUUGUUCUCUCAGUACUGGGUGAGUGGAGGUGUGUGGCUUAGUGGUCGGGGUGUUGAACUCAUGAUCAAAAGAUUGUGGUUUCAAUUCCUGAACCAGGUGAUGCGCUGUAUUCUUGAGCAAAACACUUCAUUUCAUGUUGCCCCAGUGUACUCAGCUGGCAAAAAUGAGUAAUCCUGUGACAUACUAAAUUGUACAUACUAAAUUCCUGUUUUAAUCGUUACCAAAGAAGUUGAAAUAUAUUUUAACAAUGAUGUUAGUAACUAUGAUUUCCACAUUGAAUUUGAAUCUGCCGUGUGUUUUUUUUUUUUUUGACUUUCAAAACAAGGAUAAAAUGUUAUAGAAUAAAAGGCAUGGAAAAAAAUAGUCUCAGAUCACAAUAUUCACAUAGUAACAAUAUCAGAUGGCACAUGGCAAGUAUUUACCUAAUGGCAUUAGAGUAUCAUUAAUGCAGCAACAAGAUUUACAUUGAUAUUUUGAUUUAACUUUUUCUGUUAUAAUAGUUCCAUUUAAAUACACAAACAUCUAACUCUUUAGCAUUUAAACCAGCCAUAUCUGACCAAAAUAAUUCUGUCUGUUUUAUAUUCAAACCAGCUAGGCCUGGUCUCUCACACCUAUACCCUUGUGAAAAUAAAUAAUCAUAUCAAAAUCUCGAAUUUACAAGAUAAUGUGUGAUUAAUUUAAAACAAUGUGAAUAAAUAAACAUUACAUUUGACAGAGUAAUUGGAACACUAAAAGGUUAAAUUGAUAGUAACUUCAGUAAAAUUUCUCGGUGUUUGGAACAAAUUAAGAUGAAAUUUUGGUAGAUUUUAAUUUAGUUCACUUUAAAAGAAGGAAGUGGGCUGGUAUGAAAGAAUUUAAAUACAAACAGGUUUCAAGUGGUCUGGAAAUAAAAAAAAAAGGGGCUUAAAACAUGACACGGCAAAGAAUCUUCUGUACAAUCUCUUUAUCUGCUUAGAUGUUGCAGCUCAGCUAAAUGCUCAGUAAACACACAAUGCUCAGCAUGCUGUAAUACACUGGUGCACUGCAUGAGUUAUCUAAGUCUACUGCAAAUUUUGAAAAAUAUAUAAUUCAAGAUUUUAAAAAAUCCAUAGUAAUAUAUGAGAGCACCUUGAAAAACAUGUUAUUCAUAAUUUUGUUACAUACAGUAGCAUUAACAAAACACAGUAAAGAAUAGUUGAAUUACUUUUUUCUACAUUUUUAGCUUAGUAAUUCUAAAAGUAUAAUUAAAGUCUUUUGAAAAUCCAUACUAAUAUUUAAGAGUCUUGAGAAGCAAAAUUUAUAAUGUUGUUAUACACAAGUAUGGUUCAUAAAAGGCAAAGUAAACAAUAGAUUGUUAUAUUUUUUAAAAAAUAAUAAAAUUUCUAACUGUAAAAUUGAUUUCUUUUAAAGUUAUUUGUAUGUUUGAAAAAAAUAACUCCAAUAUCCUUCAAAUAAUACAAUGUGGGAAAAGAAGCUCCAGUAAUUCUAUAAAGCAUGUAAACAACUGUAUUAAGGAUACUUGUCUUUGACAUGAAAGGGUAGCAUUCACGGUGUUUUUUACAUGGACAUUAGGAUAGGAAAGAAGGAAGGAAGGAAGGAAGGAAGACAGAAAGGAAGAAAGGUAGGCAGGCAGGCAGGCAGGAAGGAAGGGGGGGGGAAGGAGGAAGGAAGGAAGGAAGGAAGGAAGGAAGGAAGGAAGGAAGGAAGGAAGGAAGGAAGGAAGGGAUGAAGGGAAGAAGGCAGGAAGGAAGGAAGGCAGGAAGGAAGGAAGGCAGGAAGGAAGGAAGGCAGGAAGGAAGGAAGGCAGGCAGGAAGUUAUCUUCAGACUACAAAUCUGGCAUCAAUGCUUGCAACACGAUGGAGUUGACUAUAUGCACCCAGGGGUUAAGCAGUAGUGAGAAAUUAAGUUUGCUGUCCAAAGAACAUGAAAGGUCUGUACAACAAAUUACUACAUAGUUUCUAUCUACUAUAUUUCACACAUGUUUUGGUGGAGCAGAUGCUAUGAUAGAAGACCCUUGAUAUUAGCUAAUUAUUGCACCAUCAUCACCCCCAGUACUUAUUCUCUUUUAAACCUGGUGCUUAUACUAUCAGUCUCUCUUGCUGAACUGCUAAGUUAUGGGCACAUAAACCAUCAUGUUUCUACUGGUUGUCACACGUGUGGUGGGACAAACACACAGGCACAUGUGCACCAUCAUCACCCCCAGUACUUACUCUCUUUUAAACCUGGUACUUAUACUAUCAGUCUCUCUUGCUGAACUGCUAAGUUAUGGGCACAUAAACCAGCACUGGUUGUCAAGUAGUGGUGGGACAAACACACAGGCACAUGUAUACAGAUGACAAGCUUCUUUCAGUUUCCAUCUAGCACAGUGGUUCUGAACCAGGGUCAAUAUGGCCCUUGAAAGUCCAUAUAAGACUUUUGGGGGUCGGCACAAUAAAAGAGUAAAUUGAAGACCCAUAAUAUCAUUUUAAGGAUCCCUGAAAAAAUUUUGCUUUAGAUUUAUGUAUUGGUAUGCAUUGCAAGAAAAAGCUAAGUUUCUUUCUCUAACAUGUUACAUAGUUCAACUUACACAAGUUAAUGUGUGAAAAACAAAAUAGGAAUUUUGAAAGAAGUUUCUAUAAAACCAGUUUUAAAACAUCAAAUAGCUAAGGGGGUUGGUCAGAAUAAAAUAAUAAUCAAAGAGUCUAUAGAUAAAGAAUGUAAACCUCUGUGAAUCAUUCACAAGGCUUUGCUUGACUCAGGGCCAUAGUACUCUUUACUCUCUUUUACUCUUUUACUUGUUUCAGUCAUUUGACUGCGGCCAUGCUGGAGCACCGCCUUUACUCGAGCAAAUCGACCCCAGGACUUAUUCUUUGUAAGCCCAGUACUUAUUCUAUCGGUCUCUUUUGCCGAACCGCUAAGUGACGGGGACGUAAACACACCAGCAUUGGUUGUCAAGCAAUGCUAGGGGGACAGACACACAAACAUAUACAUACACAUCCAUAUAUAUAUACAUAUAUACGACAGGCUUCUUUUAGUUUCUGUCUACCAAAUCCACUCACAAGGCAUUGGUCGGCCCGGGGCUAUAGCAGAAGACACUUGCCCAAGAUGCCACGCAGUGGGACUGAACCCGGAACCAUGUGGUUGGUAAGCAAGCUACUUACCACACAGCCACUCCUGCGCCUAGAAGACUCUUGCUCAAGGAGUUGCACAGUGGAACUGAACCUGAAACCACAUGGUUGUGAAACAAACUUCUUAACCUCACAGCCAUGUCCGCAACUUGUAUUCUUUUACUCUUUCACUUGUUUCAAUCAUUUGAGUGCAGCCAUGCUGGAGGACCACCUUAAUAAUAUAUGUAUGAUUUAAUUUCAUAAAUAGCAGUAGUGUGAUUCCCUUCAUGGGACUGUCACAUGAAGUUGACAGUAUGCAACUACUCUGUCGUACCACUACUGCUUAUAUCUCUCCGAGAUAUUUAGAAAUGUAAUAUUUCUAUUUUUGUAAUCAGACAUCUCCAACUAGCAGGCAAUGCUACUCCAGACUGAUGACGAGCAAAGACUCAAAAACUAGUCUCUGGAUGCAGGCUUAGCUGGACGGAGGUGCUUGUCUCCCCCUUGUAAACAUAAGAACACAGGAAAUGUGUCAAGGCCGACAGGAAGCACUGAUACUUCCUAGGGCUAAAUAGCAGUGCUGUGAUUCCUUUCAUGGGACUGUCACAUUAAGUUAACAGUAUACAACUAAUUUAUUUUCAAAUUUUCUACAAUUAAUAUUUACUCAUAUGUUAAGUGACAAAUUUUGCUUCAUUUUAUUCAUUUUUAUGAUGCCUAUGUAUGUAUGUGUAUUUAUACCUUUGUACCUGAAUUUAUUUCAUAUUGUAGUAUUCUUCAAACAUUUUAACAAAUUCCAGUAAUUCAUGCCAGUCUACCUUUAUGGUACACCUGUUUUAUAUGCAUUCAAGAUCAACUGAUAAUUUAUAGCAUAAUUUUAAUAUAUUCUACAGUUGUUAUAUAAUCCCAGCAGAAUAUUGAUUAACAGCUCACAUUAUAUGGUGAUUUUUAAACCAAAUUUUCACUGAAUUUACCAGAAAUUAGAGUAGUUUUGAAACAAAAUUGGCAUCAUAGAUUUAUGUAAGAGCCUUUUGUCAACUUGUGCUCCAGGCAUCACCUUAAUGUAUCAAUAAAAACGAAAGUUAUAGUUGUAUCAUAAAACCAGUCUAAACUCAUGAUUAAUUAGGAAUUUAAUUGAAACACAGAAAUAUGGUAACAAAAGGAAGGGAACUAGUUGAGAAGUAAAGUUUUAUUAAUUUGUUUCCCAUCCAUAUUUAUUUCCAGUUGCUACUGGAUAACACAACAGUACAUUGGCAGAAUAAAUGCUGGGAGAACUGCCACAUAAUAUUUGGAGCUAACUCUUUAAAUUUUGAUUUAAAAACCUAAUACAAACAAUUGAAGCAGUAUUAAAUUAAAAUAGCCAUUUGUAUAUCAUACUCAAAGUAUACACACUGUCUGUUGACCAAUUACUUGCCGUAAUUGCUUCUUAAACAGAAUGUCUUUAACACAGCAACUCCAUAAGAGAUGUUAUUUCAGGACAAACACUGCAGUAACUGGCCUAUUGCCAAUGUAUAUACAUAAAGUCUGAGUUAAAAUUUGCUUUUUAUCCUUCACCACUGCCAUCACCCCCACCACCACCAUCAUCAUCAUCAUAAUUCAGCAUUUAAUUAUUGUUUACUUUUACAUGCUUACUUAUAUGGAUCAAACAAGAGUGUGUUGGGCCAGAGUUUUCUAUAGCCAGGUGCACUUCCUAUUGUCACCCACAGUAUCUUUUCUCAAGUAAGAUUAUAACCUUUUAGUCAAUCAGACAACAAACAGCCCAGAAUUGUUUGCCUGAAGAACUGGAAACAAAUGACAUCAAAGCAAGUCUUUUGUUUACAAAGAUUGCACAACAUAGGCGCAGGAGUGGCUGUGUGGUAAGUAGCUUGCUAACCGACCACAUGGUUCCGGGUUCAGUCCCACUGUGUGGCAUCUUGGGCAAGUGUCUUCUGCUAUAGCCCCGGGCCGACCAAUGACUUGUGAGUGGAUUUGGUAGACGGAAACUGAAAGAAGCCUGUCGUAUAUAUGUAUAUAUAUAUAUAUAUGUAUGUGUGUGUGUUUGUGUGUCUGUGUUUGUACCCCUAGCAUUGCUUGACAGCCAAUGCUGGUGUGUUUAUGUCCCCGAUACUUAGCGGUUCGGCAAAAGAGACCGAUAGAAUAAGUACUGGGCUUACAAAGAAUAAGUCCCAGGGUCGAUUUGCUCGACUAAAGGUGGUGCUCCAGCAUGGCCGCAGUCAAAUGACUGAAACAAGUAAAAGAGUAAAGAGUAAAAGAGUAACAUAUAAAGACAUCUGAAGAUGCUGCCAUAGUGGACUGCAGGUAAAUAGCACCAUAAGCGAAGCUAUUGUUUAUAGCAAGCAAAACGUGUGUAGACAAGGGGAAUUCAAACCUACACAAAUACACACAACACUCACCACCACACACAUACACAUGUGUGUGUGUCUGUAUGUGUGUGUAUAGUGGUGCAAUUUGAUUUUAUAUAUUCAAGUUGUAAACUUUUAUAUAUUCAAGUUGUAAAUUAUGAAUUAAGAUAUAUAUCAAAAUAAAGAAGAUUUCAUGAGCUUUAAUAUGGUAACAUAUCAAUUUUACAGUGUAACAGCAACAUAUAUUAAUAUCAUCUUAAUUAUUGUAAUUUAUAGCACCAUUUAAUUUAGGAGCAAUUUGUUAAAUUUCAGUUUUUUGCUUUAAAAAGCUUAUUCUGAGAUUAACAAACAAAAAAAAUUAUUAUUAUAAUAAUAAGCUCACACAUCAGUAUUUGGUUGGGUAUCCAAAAUUACUUAAUACAGCUUUGCAUCUGUGAAACAUAGAAUUGUUUACAUUGUUUAUUUCUGUUUCUAAGAUCUUUUCCCAAUUUUGGCUAAUAAUGUUUAAAAAAUCAUUCUUAUUCUUUGACUUACUACUUUGCACAGCUCUACCCAACCUUUCCCAAAGAUUUUCUAUGGGAGAUACGUCAGGUGACUGCACUGGCCAUUGCGUCAACUGAACUCUCUUAGACCUAAUGUAAUCUCUGACUAGGUGCGAGGUGUGUUUUGGAUCAUUGUCAUGCUGGAAAGUUCAAGAUCAGCCCAAAUGCUUUUGGGCAUAUGGAAGCAUAGUCUUAUCUAAUAUUUUUAGAUAGGACUUACUGUCCAUAAUGCCCUUGAUUCAGAUUAUAGGACCGACACCUUUUCCAGACAAGCACAUCCACACCAUCACACUUCCACCACUGCAUUCUUACAUACUUCCUGCCAUCACUGUCGAACAAGUUGAACUUUGACUUGUCCAACCACAACACAUUUAGUCAAUCUGCUGGACUCCAAUUCAAAUGCUCUUUUGCAAACUGUAUUCAGGCACAUCAAUUUUUUAAAGAAACAUAUAGCUUUUUUCAAGAGACUCUGCCCUAGAAGUCCAAAUUCUUUGAAAUGUUUUUUUUUAUGGUGGACACGCCAAUGGCAAGUCCAUAUUUUUGCUGAAUUUCUUUUAAAAUGUCAACAGCAGUCAUUAAAAUUUUUUUUGGAACAGUCUAUGAAUGUAUCUAUCCAUUCAUGCCAUUGUUUCUCUUGGUUGCUCAGGUUGAAAGUGGUCUUUAUAAUCAUUAGUAUAUAAAGAUGGACAGCUUUGUAGGCAGCUGUUUUAGAGCAUCCAACUUCAUUUCAAAUAGCCUUAUGUGACCAUUUCAGCCUACUAAGCUAAACAAUACUCAUUCUGGUGUUAAGUUUUGUCUCUUACUCAUCACAACUAUUAAGUAACUUAGAAAUUGUAACAGCAUGCAAAUUACCCGACGUUUAUAUUAAUCAAUAAGGCAAAAAGAAUGCAAUUUUGCAAAUCAUUCUUCAAUUAAAUGGCAAUGUAACUUACGCAAAAUAAAGUUUAUUUUUAAUUUAAAAUUGAUAUAUUGAUGUUAUGCUGUAAAGCUGUAUACCAUAUUAAAGUUUGUGAAAAUUUCUUUAUUUUGAUAUACAUCUUAAUUCACAAUUUACAACUUGAAUAUAUAAAAAAUGCCAUUUUAACUUUAGUAUACUAGCGUUCUUAAAUUAAAUGGUACCACUGGAUAGUCAAAUCAAAUAAACAAACAAUAAAAUGUAAAAUAACAGACAACAAGAGGACAUGUGCACAAGGAAUGUAUUAGUUUGAUGCUUAGUAAAAAGUGAGAAUUUUUGACGUUUCAAGCAUAGCUCUUUGUCAGAAAAGAAAGUGGGAAAAGUUCAAAGAAGGAUAAAAAAAAAUCACCAACAGCACACGUGGAUUAUGGUUACCAUUGUUUUUAUGUUAAGUCCCUCAACAAUUAUCAAGGCUUUGACAAAGAAAAUAAGUGCUUGCUUUCAUAUUGGAUUAAACCCAAAUAAAAAAAAAUACCACUGUACACACACACACAUAGAUGAUGAGGUUCUUUCAAUUUUCAUCUACGAAAUUUACUAAAGUCUUUGGUCAGCAGAGUGCUAUAGUAGAAAACACUCACUCAAAGUGUCACACAGUAGGACAGAACCUGAAACUAUGUGGUUGAGAACUGAACUACUUUACCACACAACCAUGCUUGUGCCUUCUUGGAUUGAUGAAAUGAAUUGUAGUACUAGGCUUGAUAUAAUCAAAUGCACCCGAAGUGUGCAGCUUAGUAUUCAUAGUGGAAAUUAUCACACUACAGCAUAGUAAUUUUGUAGCGAGGUAUAAAAUCUCGUAUUCAUCAGAAGAAAAAGGAAGUUGUAUUAUUUAUGCCUUUCAUAAAAAGAGAAGACCAUUAUUAAUGUAAGUGAAACGCAGUCUAAAAUGGGAACUGAAAACGAAUAAAUGAUUCAAUUAAUAAAAAUAGAUAAUUAACAAUAAUUAUCAAUUAGAUGCAAAGCCUUAAGCAUUCCUCUCAUAAUGAUAACCACAGCAACAGUACAGACACCAUUUAGUUCUCAUUAGUUAAUUUCAUUAGGAAGUUGCAAAAUAAACGAAAUACUUUUGUUAAGUGAGAACAUAACUAUUCUUAGGAGAGUUGGCUGUUGAUCAUGCUAUCAAUAAUCACACUCUAUUAUUGAUUGACUGAAGACAAGCAAGUUCUAAAAUGCUAUUUUAACUUUUAAAUAACUAUCACCGUUAUCAUUACCAUCAUCCGCAUCAUUAUCAUUAACAUAAUUAUAAACUAUUAACAGUGCUAUUUUCAUUAACAUUAUAUCAGGUUAUUAGGGUCAUAGUGUAACAGUUUCAUAUUGGCUAACUAAGUCCAUCAUUUGGUUUCUAUUCAUAAUUGCAAUUUCUUUAAUUAUAUCUCUAACGGCAUUCUGGAAAAGUGCUAAUUCAUCACACCUUGGCACACCAUCUGUCACCAAAGAUUUCUUUUCUUUUAGAGGAACAAAGCAAACAAAACGAAUACCACAAUUAUAUAAAGCGUAUUCAAUAUAUAAUUGAUCAUAGCUGACCCCUGAAGUUAUGUCAUAUGGUGGUUUGUGUCAUAAGUGAAUGUAAUAAAGAACUGUAGUGAUAUCACAUGGAGAUUUAUGAUAUAGCUGAUUGUAAAUAAGCACUCCGAUAACAUCAUAACAUCAUAACAAAGUAGUGUAGAAAUAUCACAUGGUGAUUUACGACAUAAGAAUUUUAACUCUUUAACAUUUAAAUCAGCCAUAUCAGACCUGUUUAUAUCAGGCUAUAUUCUAUCUGUUUUAUGUUCAAAUCAUCCAGAUGUGGCCUCUCACACAUAUUCUAAAGUGUCAUUCUAAAAAUAAACAAUCACAUCAUUGAAAUCCCAAAGCUAUGAGAUAAUGCAUAAUUAAUUCAAAACAAUGUGAAUAAAUUAUUCAUUACAUUUGACAGAGUUAUCUGUAUGCUAAAGGGUUAAGUAACCACUUUAGCAAUGUCCCAUGAUGGGUUAAUGUCAAUGCUUCUCAUAGUGCACAGUAUUGCCCCCUAAGUGAUAGGGGAAAUUUUUAUAUAGGUACUGAAGACAAAGAGGGUGUCUUUUAAAUACCCUAAUUUUCAAAAAUAUUUUCAAUCUUUAUCAUGUGUGUAUGAAUCAUUUAGUGAAAUUAGUGGUUGAAAUAAAUCAGUCAGCUAACAGAACCAUGAGUACAUUGGAAGAAACACUUAGUAGUAUUUCUUCUGGCUCUUUGCAUUCUGAGUUCAAAUUCCACCAAGGUCUACUUUGUUUUCCAUCCUAUUGAAGUCAAUAAAGUACUGCUGUGGCCAAAAGUUUGGAACAUUUUUGUGACAUACUAACUUCUAUUUAUUAAAGGUAAGCAAUUUGGCCUAGAACUAUAUUUUUGAUUUUACCUAUUUUUUUCUUCUAGUGAUUGAACUAUUGGACCAAUUAUUGAAAUUUAGAAUGUUUAUAUUAAAUGUCCAAAGUUAUAUUUAAUUUGUAAUUUAUUCUUACUUGGCCAAAAGGUUGGAACAUAGGUCUGAAAACUUUUUCUUCUAGAUAUUGACCCAUGGGAUCAGUAAUUAGGUAAGUAUAUUUCUACAAUGCCUACAUUUAAAUUGAAUUGUAGUUGGGGAUACUCUUUUACUUGUUUCAGUCAUUUGACUGUGGCCAUGCUGGAGCACCGCCUUUAGUCGAGCAAAUUGACCCCAGGACUUAUUCUUUGUAAGCCUAGUACUUAUUCUAUCGGUCUCUUUGCCGAACUGCUAAGUUACGGGGACAUAUUCACACCAGCAUCAGUUGUCAAGCAAUGUUGGGGGGACAAACACAGACUCACAAACAUAUACACACACACACACACAUAUAUAUAUACAUAUAUAUGAGAAGCUUCCUUCAGUUUCCAUCUACCAAAUCCACUUAGGCUUUGGUUGGCCCAAGGCUGUAGUAGAAGACAUUUGCCCAAGGUGCCACGCAGUGGGACUGAACCCGGAACCAUGUGGUUGGUAAGCAAGCCACUUACCACACAGCCACUCCUGUGCCUAUAACAAUUUUAAUUUUUUUAAAAAUGUUCCAAACUCUUGGCCAUGACUAAGUUUCAGUUGAACACUGGGACUGAUAUAAUCAACUUGAAACUUGCUAGCCUUGUGUCAAAAUUUGAAACUUGUAUUAAUGCUUGAAAUUUUGUUUUGACAUUAUUGUUCACUUUUCUGUCUUGUUUUGUUUUAUUCUUUGUACUGUGUGUGAACUUUCAGUUUUCAGUUGUGUCUUUCUCUACUUCACUUGAUGUCCCCUCUUUUACUCAUUUCCAACAAGUUUUUGCAUAUCUGAGCCCUGGAUGCAAUGAAUCAUCAUCAUCAUCCUCAUCAUCGUUUAACGUCCACUUUCCAUGCUGGCAUGGGUUGGACGAUUUGACUUGGGACUGGUGAGCCAGAUGGCUGCACCAGGCAAAUGGCUGCACCUGGCAAAUGGCUGCGCCAGGCAAAGAUGGCUGCACCAGGCUAUUUUAAAAAUAUGGAAUGCUUCACAAAUUUGUGCAUCAUCCUUGCACAGGGGGCCAUGCUAAUCUUCUCUGUAUCAUUCCAAUUUUAGAAUAUGUACCGCCGUAGCAGUACAAUGACCUUCAUAAACUGUAAUGUUGUCUCAUGGUAGUUUAUGUCAUAAAUGGUUGCAUGUGAUGAUGAUGAUGAUCAUCAUCAUCAUCAUCAUCACCAUCUUUUAACAUCUAUUUUCCAUACUGGCAUAGGUUGGAUGAUUUGACAAACCAGAAGACAGCACUGGGCUUCACUGUCUACUUUGGCAUGAUUUUUAUGGCUAUAUGCCCUUCCUAAUACCAACCACCUUACAGAGUGGACUAAGUGCUUUUCACAUAGCACCAGCACUGGCAAGUUCUGUUUUAGCAAGGUUUUUACAGCUGGAUGCUCUUCCUAGUGCCAGCCACUUUUCAAAGUGACUUGGGUGCUUUUCAUGAGGUACAAGUACCUGGCACAUAUUAAUUCACUCUGGGCCUCAGGAAAGCGCUCUUCUUUAGCCCUAGGUUAGUCUGACCAAGCAGGACUGUGAUAAAGGGCAUCUGAUAAAAGGCACAUUAUCUAAUGUGCCUUUUUUUCAUUUGAAGGGAGUUUAACUGCUAUUUCUAGCAGAUUCAAUAAUCAUGUAGAGGCUUAUCUGUAGAUACUGGUGAUAGAUACAGUUAUAGGUGGAAAUAUAGACAUGUUCAGAGAAGUAGUCAUUUCAUUAUUGCAUUUAUAUUUUUAGUCACAGUGUAUCCAAUGUGUCCCUUCUUUUUUUUCAUAAGACGGUGAAUUAUUUUAAAUGACAUUUUUGAGCAAGUGAAAUGACUACAAAGAGAGAGAUAGACAAAUUGACAGACAGAAACUCUUUUGACUCCUACCAUAGAAUGCAAUGGGAGUUGAUUUUAUGUGAUACACCAUACAAAAUGCCAUGGUAGACUGAUUCUGAAAUAUUUGUGGCUCUAUAUCCCUUCCAAUCCCAGAAAGUUCCUGAGUUAACUAGAUAAUAAAAAUGCCAUGGGAGAUGAUUACAGGGAAUCACAAAAGAGUAACUUAUAGAUCAAGCACUUCAAUAGAAAUAUCUUCAUGUAGGCAAUAAUGAUCUCUGUAGAAUGGUUACACAAACUGAAAUCAAUUAACACCUGCUGACACACAAAAGGUAGAAAUAUUUUGUGGCAGGGUGGAGGUUGUGGAGUACCCCUACAUUAGGCUGAGGUCCUGACUGGUGUUGCUGUUGUUGUUCUUGAUUAGCCCCACUGAACCCUAUUCAAAUAAGUUAAAUAAACCAGGUGAAUCUACUUGAUGGUUCAGUCAUUACCAUGCUGUUUUUUAUUUUUUUUUUAUUUUGGAUUUUUCUGAGAUAUUGCGUUUCUAAGAGUGGUAACUGUUAAUCUUCCUCAACAGAAAAGAAAAAAAAAACUUGCUCAAGAAAGGUGCAAGCAUGGCUGUAUGGUUAAGAAGCUUACUUUGCAACCACAUGGUCUUCUAGAGCUGGCAGAAUUGCUAGAAUCGUUAGCAUGCUGGGAAAAAUGCUUAGUGGUUUCAUUGGUCUUUAUGUUCUGAGUUCAAAUUCCACCAGAGUUGAUUUUAUCUUUCAGCCUUUCAGGGUUGAUAAAUUAAGUACCAGUGAAACACUGGGGUUGAUGUAAUUGACUAGUUCCCUUUCUUAAAAUUUCAGGCUAUCUGCUUUUACUAGAAAGGAUUAUAGCCCUGGGCUAGCCAAAGCUUUGUAAGUGAAUUUGGCAAGUGGAAACCGUGUAUUAAGGAGUUUACUUCCCAGCCUGGGUUCAGUUACACUGCAUGGCGCCUUGAACAAGUGUCUUUGACAAUGGCCUCAGGCUGACCAAAGCCUUCUGAGUGGAUUUGGUAGACAGAAACUGAAAGAAGCUCAUCAUAUAUAUGUGUGUGUGUGUGUCUUUGUGUCUGUGUUUGUUCCCCAUCACUGCUUGAUAAUGGUGUUGGUGUGUUUAUGCCCCCAUAACCUAGUGGUUCAGCAAAAGCGAUUGGUAGAAUAAGUGCCAGAUUUUAAAGAAAUAGUGCUGGGGUUGAUUUGUUUCAACUAAAUUCCUUCAUGGCCUCAGUCUCAUGACAAACAAGUAAAAGAUGUAAAAGAUAUAUAUAAACACAUAAACACAUAGAUACAUACAUACACACACAUAUAUGUAUGUAUACACAUAUGUAUGUAUGUUUAUAUAUAUAUAUAUAUAUAUAUACACACACACACAUAUGUAUGUAUGUAUGUAUGUAUGUAUGUAUGUAUGUAUGUAUGUAUGUAUGUAUGUAUGUAUGUAUGUAUGUAUGUAUGUAUGUAUGUAUGUAUGUAUGUAUGUAUGUAUGUGUUUACCACCCCCCACCUCUGCUUGAUAACCAGUUCAGCAAAACUGACUCGUAGGAUAAAUACCAGACUUAAAAGUAAUAAUAAAUACUGGGGUCAAUUUGUUCAACAAAAACCCUUCAAUGUGGUGUCCCAUUGUGGCUGCAGUCCAAUGACUGAAACAAGCAAAAGCUAAAUGAAGUAUGUACAUACAUGCUCAGACGCAUAGUCAACAUUGACCAACAGAAAUCCCAUGUAAUAAAUGCGUUUAACAAAUAGGUAAUUCAGCUGGUUGAAUAACUUAAUGUCUAUCAUCAAAACCAUUGAAGACCCAUUAUGCAUCUGAGAGUACAUUAAGCAGAGUCCUACACUUUGUCUUUUUUGAUUGUUUUCUUUUUUGAAGCUGAAAUUUGGUGGUGUAUGAUAAACCAAGGUGAUAACUGUCAUGAAAUAACAAGUAGACAUUGAUAAAAUGCAAUAUCUUCACUAGAAUUAAUUUUCAUGGAUAUAUGUGACAUAACUGAAUAGAGACCAGCAUCGUAGGAGGAUAAGUAUUGCCAUAACAAAGUGAUUUUACAUCAAAAUAUCAUGGAGUUUAUUUUAUUCAUUUAUUCCAUAUCACAGUUCAUGAACAACAUUAUUGUUGGCUAAAGUUUUCUCCAAUAGGUAAAUAGCUCAUUCUCUGCAUUUCUGAUGGUGAGUGUUUGUAAUUCAUCACAGAACAAAUAUCACAAAGGACUUCAAUUGAAAGCACCCCACCCCCACAACAGACAUGUGCAUGUGAGCACACAUGCACACACAUACACACACACCAUGGCCUUCUUUCAGUUUCCAUUUACCAAGUAAGGAAUCAUUUUCCUCAUGGCCAGAUAUGUUUGGUUGUUGCAUCCCAAUGCACACCCACACAUGGCCGCCCAACUGCUGAAACCAUUAACCAAUUGGGUUUUGAGGUGCUGGAACACCCUGUCGACAGCCUUCCUAUAUCCCUUCCUAUCCUAGAGAGUUCCUGAGUUAACUAGAUAAUAAAAAUUUCAUGGAAGAUGAUUACAGAGAAUCACAAAAGAGUAACUUACAGAUCAAGCACAGGAUCCAACAAACCACAGGAAUACACUGCUCUGGUGAGAUCUCUACAGCUGGAUGCCCUUCCUAAUGACAACCCCUUUACAGAAUGGUUGCUUUUUUUUUACCUUGUGACACUAGCACUAGUAAGGUCACUAUAUCUGAUGAAUAGACAGGAUGGUUAUUGCUGAAAUAUCAUUGAUCAUAGGCCUGUUGAGUCAAGACUGACCUGGGGCUAAACAACAACAUCAAAGAAAGGUGUAUUAGAUAAUGCAGUCUUAUUUCUCUCACCUUAACAUGUACUCACUGGCUGUAAGCAAUGACUUCACUCAAGAGUAACAUUUGCUUGCAGUCCACUGAAAAAGAGUGCCCAAACUCCCUAACAUGCCUUGAUAUGCUAUGUGGGUUUAAUUUGCUUCAAGAUUUUUUUUUUAAUAUAAAUAUAUCCAGCUUGUUUGUUUUGCAAGUAUAGAAGAAUAGACAUUAAUGAUGAUGAUAAUGCACAUACCUGUAGCAAGCUAAUUAAAAGUGUAUUCAAAUAGAGGGUGAUUGUAACAAAAAUUUAAUAAAAAAUACAAAUUUGGGAAGGAGAAUUUUAAGGACUAACUUUAUAUUCAUUAUAUUGACAAGUAAGGGAGACAACUUCACUGAACUUGAUAGUGAUGAAGAAGUCACUAAUGGUGUUUUUAUAAGAAAUAAACCUCAUUGUCCAUUUUUGCUUUUCAUCAUUCCAGGCCUGGUCAAUAGAAUAUCUAUUCUUCUCUUGGUCCAUCCUUGUGUAUAUCAGCUAUGUUGUACUGUAAUAAAUGUCACAAGAAACCCAUGGAGAGCAUCCCAUUCCCCAGAAAUUGGGAAGAGUUGAGCAAAAAGCUUGUAAUUAUUUCUCAUGGAGAUUCUGUUAUUUCAUCCACAGGAACUGUCCAUAAACAGACCAGAGUACAGAACAGUAUAGAACAUAAAUUAAGAAACUAAAUAAAGAUAGAUAUAUAAAAAGUUCAGUGUGUUUAAUAAAUAUCAUCACAUCAUAUAUAUAUAUAUGUGUGUGUGUGUGUGUGUCUGUGUUGGUCUCCCAUCACUGCUUUACAAUCCUAUGAAUCUGGGUUUACUUCUCAACUUGGGUUCAGUUUUACUGCAUGGCACCUUUGAUUCCACUAAACAGAAUCAUCAUCAUCAUCAUCAUCAUCAUCAUCAUCAUCUUCCUUAAGAAUCUGUGUUCCAUACUAGUAUGGGAAUUGAUUUUAUGUGAUACAUCAUACAAAAUGUCAUGGUAGACUGAUUCUAAAAUAUUUGUGGCUCUACAGCCCUUCCUAUAUCCCUUCCUAUCCUAGAGAGUUCCUGAGUUAACUAGAUAAUAAAAAUUUCAUGGAAGAUGAUUACAGGGAAUCACAAAAGAGUAACUUACAGAUCAAGCACAGGAUCCAACAAACCACAGGAAUACACUGCUCUGGUGAGAUCUCUACAGCUGGAUGCCCUUCCUAAUGACAACCCCUUUACAGAAUGGUUGCUUUUUUUUUUACCUUGUGACACUAGCACUAGUAAGGUCACUAUAUCUGAUGAAUAGACAGGAUGGUUAUUGCUGAAAUAUCAUUGAUCAUAGGCCUGUUGAGUCAAGACUGACCUGGGGCUAAACAACAACAUCAAAGAAAGGUGUAUUAGAUAAUGCAGUCUUAUUUCUCUCACCUUAACAUGUACUCACUGGCUGUAAGCAAUGACUUCACUCAAGAGUAACAUUUGCUUGCAGUCCACUGAAAAAGAGUGCCCAAACUCCCUAACAUGCCUUGAUAUGCUAUGUGGGUUUAAUUUGCUUCAAGAUUUUUUUUUUAAUAUAAAUAUAUCCAGCUUGUUUGUUUUGCAAGUAUAGAAGAAUAGACAUUAAUGAUGAUGAUAAUGCACAUACCUGUAGCAAGCUAAUUAAAAGUGUAUUCAAAUAGAGGGUGAUUGUAACAAAAAUUUAAUAAAAAAUACAAAUUUGGGAAGGAGAAUUUUAAGGACUAACUUUAUAUUCAUUAUAUUGACAAGUAAGGGAGACAACUUCACUGAACUUGAUAGUGAUGAAGUCACUAAUGGUGUUUUUAUAAGAAAUAAACCUCAUUGUCCAUUUUUGCUUUUCAUCAUUCCAGGCCUGGUCAAUAGAAUAUCUGUCACAUUUUGGCUCAAUUCUUCUCUUGGUCCAUCCUUGUGUAUAUCAGCUAUGUUGUACUGUAAUAAAUGUCACAAGAAACCCAUGGAGAGCAUCCCAUUCCCCAGAAAUUGGGAAGAGUUGAGCAAAAAGCUUGUAAUUAUUUCUCAUGGAGAUUCUGUUAUUUCAUCCACAGGAACUGUCCAUAAACAGACCAGAGUACAGAACAGUAUAGAACAUAAAUUAAGAAACUAAAUAAAGAUAGAUAUAUAAAAAGUUCAGUGUGUUUAAUAAAUAUCAUCACAUCAUAUAUAUAUAUAUGUGUGUGUGUGUGUGUGUGUGUGUCUUACGCACUGAGGUCGAUAUAAUCGACUUAAUCCGUUUGUCUGUCCUUGUUUGUCCCCUUGGUGUGUAGCCCCUUAUGUAUGUAUGCAUGUCUAUAUAUAUAUGUGUGAGUGUCUGUAUGUAUGUAUAUAUAUAUAUAUAUAUAUAUAUAUAUGUUAUACAUAAAAGUAUCUUUCAUACAUGUUACUCAUAUUCAAUUACAUACAUACACACACAUGUAUGUACAUAUAUAUACAUACAUAUCUGUGUGUAAACACAUAUAUGUGUGUGUGUGUGUAUGUACAUACACACACACACACACACACACACACACACACACACACACACACACACAUUUACAUGCACAUACACACAAAUACUCACAAAUAGCCAUCUGAUUAAACAAGCAAAACACACAUAUAUCACCAUAUAUCUGUGCCAUAUAUCUCAGUCAUUUCUAACAUUUAAUUUGAAACCUAUGAACACAUAAAUCUUUUUAUCAAUCAUUUUCUCCAAUGUUUUUCUACAUAACUUCUUCCUUUCCUUUUUCUUUUUUUCAUCUUCUUAUUAUUAUUCUUCUCCCUCUUCCCCCCCACCCAGUUUCACUGAAUAUAUUUCAAAUAUGAUAUCAUAACUUUGGUUAAACACAGGAAAAAUAUGAUUGAGCAAUAUAAAGAUUUCUUUGACAUUCUCUGAGGUCCUGCUAAUUAUGUAACUGGAGAAAACAUGCUUUGUGCAUUUCUUGUCUUGUCAUUUCUCUUUAAUUCGUCUUACUUUGAUUUCUACUUCUUGCCCAUCCAGCCUGGCACCACCUCUUUUAAAUGUUUUCACUUCAUUGCUGCCCAUCCAAUUACUAAAUCUAGCUAUCACUAACAUUACAACAACAAGCGUGCAUCCAUCCAUACAUACAUACACAUAUAGAUACCCCUGCUGCUUCUACACAGAACAAAUAUCUAUCAAUAUUACUAUGGCUGGCAAAACUAUGCAUGUAUUUAGGCUUAUAUAGUGACCACCACUGUCAUCAUCAUUAUCACCAUACCAGUAUGGCUGGAAUGGGUUGACAGGGAACCAGUGAACUGCAGGCUGUGUCAAGCUCCAAUGCUAUUUUUGGCAUGAUUUCUUCUUGUGGGUGCCCUCCCUAAUGCCAAGUACUUGACAGAGUGUUCUGCAUGCCUUUUUUUCAUGCUACCAGCACUAGUGUGGUUGUCAUGUAACUUGCAAGACAAAAAAGAAUAGAGAAGGAAAAGAAAAAAAGGGAGGAAAAAGCUUUUACUACAAAGAAGUGAAGGCACCUGGCUCAGUGGUUAGAGUGUUAGGCUCACAAUCAUGUGGUAGUGAGUUAGAUUCCCAGACCAGGCUGUGUGUUGUGUUCUUGAGCAUGACACUUUAUUUCACAUUAUUCUAGUUCACUCAGCAGUAGAAAUAAGUUGCAAUGUCACUGAUGCCAAGCUGUAUUGGCUUUUGCUUUUCUCUUGGAUAACACCAGAGACUGAUAUGCCUAGAUAACUGCUGGUCUUCUAUAAACAGACUGAUUGGCAUAAAAUCGUUCACAAAGAUACUCCAGCCUCUGGUCUACAGCUUUUUCUACAUCUGCUAAUAUAAUGGCCUUAGCUCCUUAGAAAUGGUUGGUCUCAUGUCACAUUCUCUCAAGUACUUCCACCUCACUCAUCUCUCCUCCUCUUAUCACCCUUGUGGUGUCCAUUUCCCACCCAGACCUUACACUAAUGACUACACCCAGUCAUUCCUUCCUUCUAGUAUUCAAUCUUGCUAAUCCUCAUAUCUUUCCAGCCAGUGUUGACCAACAAAGGUUCAAAAGUGACCAGCAUGGCAUCAGUCUCACUGGACUAAGAAGGCCUGCAAAGGUUCCUGACACUGCCCAUUCCUCCUCAUAAGCACUGACCAUUCCAGCUAAGUACUAUCCAGCUCCAUUUCAAAGGCACUUCCUGGUUCCAUCAUCUUUGAAUGUGUCCAGAAAAUGACCACUAGACUGAUUGACAUAAAACCAUUCACAAAGACACUCCAGCCUCUGAUCCACUACUUUUUCUACCUCUGCUACUAUAAUGGUCUUAGCUCCUUGGAGCUAGUUGGUCUCAUGUCACCUUCACUCAAGCACUUCCAUCCCACUCAUUUCUCCUCCUCCUAUCACCUUUGUGGUGUUCACCUUCCACCAGGCCCUACACUAAGGACUACACUCAGUCCUUCCUUUCCUGUUCUCAGCAACAGUAAAGGUGUUGCCUCCAGGAUCAUUGGGUCUUCUUUUUAGACACAGUCUAUCCUGGUCUAUAUUGUUAAUUAGUCUGAAAUAGUAAAGUGAAUGUGUGUAUGUGUGCAUGUGUCUGUGUAUCUGUGUGCAUGUGACCUUAGAGUGAUUUCACAGUUAUUUCUAGCAGGUUGAGUUGCUAUUUAGAAGCUUCCACACCAGCCUCAUAUGUGCAAUGUUCAUAUUGAUUGAUGCAUGUAAAAAACAUUAAAACCCAUUACUGCUGCAGUAUAAUCAUCAUCAUCAUUAUCAUCAUUAUCAUCAUCAUCAUCAUCAUCAUCAUCAUCAUCAUCAUCAUCAUCAUCAUCAUCUAUACCACCACUGCCAGCACAACAAUCAUCCUUGUCAUUAUCAUCAGCAACAGCAACAUCACCUUUAUCAUCAUCAUCAUCAUCAUCAUCAUCAUCAUCAUCCCCCUCUUCAUCAUCAUCCUCAACAGCAUCAUUGUCAACAUCAUCAUCCUUACCAUCAUCCUCAUUAUCAUCAUUUCUGUCCUCCUCACCGUCACUAUCAUCAUCAUUGUUACAGUUCUUAUCUUUACCAUCAUCUCUGGCAGUAAUUAACAGCUAGCAGCAACAUUUUGUCAAGUCUUUUCUGUUUUUCUCAUUUCUCAUUUUUGACAUUUAAAAAAUAAUUUUAAUAUCUAAUACUGUCCCCCAGGUUCAAGCCCUAAGCUAGCUAGACAUUUUGCUCUAAAUAUUUCAAAAUGUUUUGCUGGAAAAUAAAUACACCCCCACUAGCACCCUUAUCCUCACCUCAGUCACUUCACAGUUAUUUCAGCUUAGUCCCACAUGAACUCUGAUCAAGUAGACUUUAUGAUCAGAGACAUUCCAACCAUAACCAUCACUUUUAUUUAUUCAUUAUUUUGUUUUUAGAGGUGUAUCAGGACUAUGUUGUUUAAUGUGUUCCACCCCUUUUAAGACAGUAGGGUGUUAUUUGAAGGAAAUUUGGCUGCUUUAGUUGCGUAGGAAGGUAAUAAGAGAGGCCUUAAAAGACAUUGUACAUCAUAAUUUCCUGCCCAUUGGUAAAGCAUUUACUGAAUACCCAACUCUGACGAACCAUUAAAUUUAUGCUAGCAGGUGGAAAAUAAAAUAUGAAAAUGGAACAUAAAAGACAGGAAUAAGAUGUCAUUUCAAAAGAAAUCACACACAGGGGAAUUCCAGGAAAAAAUCUUCAUGAAUACAGAGAAAAGAAAACAAGGAAAAAAUAAACGGAAGCAACUUACUGUAACUGAAUUAUUGUAUAUCUAUAAGACUUCUACCCUUAUUGUUACGCGUAUUCCUUCAAUCGUUUGUGAAUUUGAAUUAGACAUACAAGAGUGAGUAAGGAUAUAAAACAGCUUUUGUUAAUAUUGCUAUUAAUCCUGAAAUAUAUCAAUUAUAUACUAGCCAUUUAUUACUGAAAUAGAUAGUUUUUCAGGCAGGACUCUCUGAGUGUGUGCUGACACUGUCCACUUAGAUUCCCAAUUAAAGCAAUUUUGUUUCACUGAUAUCACUAAUGCCUCUUUUCUUUUUCCUUUCUCCCUCUCUUUUUUUUUUUUUGUAUGUAUAAGACAUUAGUAAUAUUGCAACGUCUCGUUUAUGUUUGACUAAAACAUAUGUGCUUCAUGGUUAAUUGUUAAUGAUUCGAUUUUGUUUUUCUUAUUUGUAUAGCUUCAAAUAAUUAUACUUAAGCUAUUAAGACAGUUUAAGUUAUUGAGGUAAGCCUAGCAGCUAACUGUAUCUCAUAAAGCCAAUUAUUGCUAACAUACGUUGUAAAUGGCAUGGUUGGACAUUGUCUUUCCGUUUUUGUUCAUUGAAAAUAACUAAGUACUCAAUAUUCCUAUACACAAUGGGAUGGUCAUGACUGGAAUGUCUUUAAUCAGAAGCAUGCUUGAUCAGAUUUGACUUGGGACUAAACAGCAGCCACAGCAAAAGCAACAAUCUUAUAUGAAUGAAAGCAAAGCUGUCAUAAAUAUAAACAAGAAAUUGGGGAAGGGAAGGUACUGUGAUCAUGCUAAGGUAUCAUCAUCAUCAGUUUACAUCUGCUUUUCAUGCAAACAUGUUGGACAUGUCCUAAUGAGUGGAGUCGGUUCUCAUUUAGAGUUACUGAAUACAAACUUACACUCACACACACAAUCACACACACACAAAAGUACAGGCUUCUGCAGUUUCUGUUUACCAAAUUCCAUUCACAAGGCUUUGGGAAACCUAUAACGCUAUGUCAGAAAACAUUUACUGAAGGUCGUAUUGAACCUGAAACAUCAAGACUCUGUAUGUCAUUGUAAACAAAACAUUUUCAAAAAUCAGCCAUAUUUUUGUGAUCAAUUUCAAUACAGAAGUGAUGCAAACAUAGCUGAAAACUCCUUGCAACUAUUUCAAAAUUUUUCCACAAAUUAAAAUAAAAUACAAAAAAAAAAGAAAAAAUUCAAAUAAAAUAUUGUUUUUGAUUAGCUUAUUUAUAUACAGUCUUGUAGGCAAAUAGCAAGAAUUUCUAAAGCAUGAAAUUAUUUGGUGUCCUUUGGUGCUUUAAGGGUGAAUUCUAAUUAAAGUAUACAGUAAUGUAUUACUUUACAAUUAGGUUUAUGACAUUUUCUGUGACAUAGGAAAUAAAAUAUUUACAAAGUAUAUAAUCAAAGCCAUAAACAUGCUGUGUUGUAUUCUAUUCAGCUAGCUACAAAUAAUUUAGCAUUUCAAACACCUUGAGCUUCUGUUUUUCAGCUUCAGUGAGACUGGCUAACACAAUAUUUGCCUAUCUAAUUCACAACCUGUUAGCAUAUAUUUCACGACACUCCAGUAUUCAAAGGCUUGACUAGAUGACUACUUGACCAUUAGCUAGUGUAAUGUAUCAACUUCUAAAAUGUUUUAUAAGUAAACAAGUGUGUUGUUGUAUACUUAACACUUUAGCAUCAAUAAAGCUAAUGAUGUUACGCUUACUUUUCAUUAACACCUUUUACCUUCAUAAGCACAGGUAUAGCCAGAAGUGUAGGUAUGACUGUAUGGUUUAGAAGUUCAUUUUUCAAUAUCUCUGCAUUCAAGUUCAGUCCUACUGUGUGGUACCUUGGGCAAAUGUUUUUCUGCUCGUCUCAGGCUGACCAAAGCCUUGUAAGUAAGUAAAUUUGGCAGAUGGAAAUUGCAAGAAUCCCACCAUGCAUGUGUGUGUACAUUUGUAUUUCCUUGUCUUGAUAUAGCGUAAGAGUUACAAACAAAUGUUGCUGCCACACCAACAGUGUCAUUCAUUUCCAAGCUUCCAUAGAAACAUGUUUGGCUAUGAGGAAAAUGAUUCCUCACUUGGAAACAGGUGAUGAUAGGCAAUGAUAGUACAUUUAAUUAUAGAAGCACAUUUAAUUAUAGAAAAUCUGCCUGAAUGAAUUCUGUCAGAUGCAGUUAAGCAUGGGGCAAAAGGACCUUAAAGUGACAAUGGUGAUGAAUAUUAACAGUAAACGUGAUCAAAUGAUGAAACUAAAACAGCUUUAAGCUCUUGUUGUUAGUGUUGCUGUUGUUGUUGUUGUUUAACCACAGGUCAAUUCUAGUUAUGUUCAAACACAUUCCAGUCAUGAGUCAAUAUAUUUCCUCAUAAGUAUAACUAAAAUGAGAAAAAGAUCAGCAUCAAUUUCAACAAUGGAUAUUUAGUUAUUUGACCCUCUAAAGUACCUGCUCAUUGAAUUAGUAUGCAAGUGGCUGAGUACUCCACAGAUAUAUAUGUAUCCUUAACAUAAUUCUCAAGUAGAAUCAGCAUGACAGGGUGUGUGAUAAUGCUGGACCACUCAAUUCUAGAUCAGCAGCAGCUGUUCAUCAUGGGUUGAUAUUGGCUGUUCUGUUCAGACUUCUCCAAACAAAAUGUCUUAGGAUGGCAAGUAAGGCAGUUGGUGUCACUCCCCCUGCCAGACUGCCUCUCUGGACCUCCAUGCCAGGUACCAAGUGUACAAAAGUGCAACGAGCAUGAUCGACGAUGAGGCUGCCCCGCAGUAGCAGCUCACUCGCUAGUUGAUGCCCAGCCAUUGUCUGUGGAGGUACAUGGGUUAGUGGUUAGAGCAGUGGACUUGUGGUCAAGGGAUCACAGGUUCGAAUCUCAGACCGGGUGAUGUGUGUGUUUAUGAGUGAAAUACCUAAGCUCCACAUGGCUCCGGCAGAAGGUAGUGGCGAACUUCUGCUUACUCUUUCGCCACAACUUUCCCUCUCUCUUUCCUCCUGCAUCUUGAAGCUCACCUGUAACAGACCGGCAUCCCGUCCAGGUGGGGAACCUAUAUGCCAAGGAAACCGGGAAACCGGCCCUUAUGAGCCAGGCAUGGCUUGAGAAGGAAGCCAUUGUCUGAUGCCACAGAUCCUCUGCUUGACUACAAUAACCUUCAAGCCAUUGGUCAAAGACUCCUCUACCUUGUCAGUUAUCCAACAUCCUGUUAUCAAUGUCAUCACUGUAUCCUUGGCACAGGAGGCUAAGGGUUUUCUAGCACUCUCCCAAGGUGUCACUCCACUCUACUGAAAGAAGGGGCAAUUUACUCCCUCUUUUAUGGUACAGUACAGCACCCACAUCGGUGGAAGGCCAUAAAAAUCUAUCAAUAUAUUUGACAGGCUUCUGCACAGUUUCAACCACCCAUUUUCUGUUUUCUGUCACAAGGCUAGGGCCGGCUUCAAGCUUUUGGUAAAAGACACUUGCUCAAAAUACUAUGCGAUUGAAUCUGAUAUGUGAUUGUAAAGUAAACUUCAAAACCACCAGACAUGCUGUGGUCAAGAACUAAAAAUACUUUAUGGAAGGACUUUAUCAAUUUUUAGUCAGUACAAUACCACCUGAAGGAGAUUCAGUUGCUAUUUCUAGCAGGCUAAGCAACCAUGAAAAGCACAUCUUCACCCUGUUUUUUAAGAUUAUCUCCCUUUCUCAUUUCAAGUUGAUGGUCAAUGCCUCAAGGCAUUUGUUUACUUUACUCAACAACAGAAGACUGUUUAAAUAAAAUAAGAAUUUAUCUUGUCUAGUAUUUUGCUAUACUUUUAUUUAUCUUUCUUGCCCAAACUCAAGCCACUAGCCCCUCAGCUAUUUCUCUGAGCCACUUUUUUGUUUAUACAUAAUACACACACACACACACACACACACAUACAAACACAUAUCUCACUCUCUCUCUCUCUUUAUAUAUAUAUAUGUGUGUGUGUGUGUACAUAUAUAUAUAUAUGCACACACACAAAUAUAUACAUGUUUAUAUAUGUGUAUAUAUGCAUGUGGGUGUAUACAUGUGUGUGUAUAUAUAUAUAUAUAUACACACACACACAUCCAUAUCUGUAUGUGACUAUAUAGACACACGCACACACAUUCACAUAUAUAUAUAUAGAUUGAUACAUACAUAUAUACAUACAUACACACAUGUAUGUAUAUGCAAACAGAUUGGUAUAUAUUGAAGAAUAUAUACAUACACACAUGUAUGUAUAUGCAAACAGAUUGGUAUAUAUUGAAGAAUACAUCUAUGCAUACAAACAUGCAUACAUUACAUACACACACACAUAUAAAUUGACAUGUUGAAAUAUAUAUCUAUGCAUCUAUAUGUUUAUACACAUGUAUGCACAGACAUGCACACACAAACACACGUGUUCACACACACAAACAGAGAGUCAACUAGUACAAUGUCACUUUACCUAAGAGAUUAAUUCAUGUUCAAAUGAUAUAAUAUAGAUGGUAACGACAUACUUAAAUCUGAAAUUCUCAACAGUCUUUUAAUCUUGCUUGUAUUUUUUUUUGUUCCAACCCCCUUGAUCUUGUGAUUAUAUUUAUUUUUAUUCCUUUUUUCCAUUCUCUAAAUAUAAUUCAGAAAUGGAGAUUUAUAUGAAACUACAAAUAAAUAAAUAAAUAAAUAAAAACUACAAAAAUCAAAAUAUAAGUCAAAAUAAAAAAAAUAAUAAAAAAAUUAUUUACUUACUCGUUGGCUUUUUUUUUUUUUUUUUUGCUUGUUUUUAUGUUUCAUAUUUUGUAAGUUUGAUGAUUUCAAUAUCAGAAAUAAAAGAAACUUACCUAAAAAGAGAAAAUAGAAUUGAAACUUAGAAUCACAGUGUACAUCAGAAUAUAUACAUAAAUGCAUAAAUAAAGAAUAUUAAAGAACACAAGAAUACGACCUAUAACUCUUCCUGAAAUAAUUACACACAAUUGAUAUUUAGCCAUCGAGGGAGGGUGCCUCUCUGGAGUUGGUCUGUAUGUUAGAAACAGCAGUCAAAUCUCCCUCAAGCUAAAUCAUACUGACUUAAAAGACAAAAAAUAGACAAGGGACAAUAUGGUUGUAGAGAUCUUUUAUCGCUUAUCUUUUACUUGUUUUAGUCAUUGGACUGCAGCCAUGCUGGAGCAAUGCCUUGAAAGGUUUUAGUAAAAAAAUAAUCAACUCCAGAAUUUAUUCUAUUGGUCUCUUUUGCUGAACUGCUAAGUUAUGGGGAUAGAAACAAACCAAAACAGGCUGUCAAGUGAUGGUGGGGAUAAACACAAACAUACAUACAUGCACAUAUUUAUAUUACUAGCUUUGAAGCUGCCCUUCAGGCAGCAAUCCUGCUGAUUCCUAUGGAAGCACCUUUGAAGCCUUCGGCCCUCUACACUUGUGUAAUAAAACUUAUUUCUGCAAAUGUGCCAAGGACUGGUGCUGAUCAUAGUUUAAUCACUACAUGUAGGGGUGAAGUAAAUGCAAUAAAAAUAGAUGGGUUCAGUGGGUCCCCAUUUAAGUGUCUAUUCAGAAACUGAACCUCCUUAUGAUGCUCCCUGAGAGUUCAUGGUAUAAAGUUCAUUGUCAUUACUCCGAUUAGGUCGCCAAUGCCAUGUAUUUAGUUUAAAAUGCAGUAAAAAUAUGGGGGUCAGUGGAGCCCUCCCCCCCAAAAAAAAAAAUAAAUAACAAAAACAAUAAAAUCUUGUUUCCAAAAUAUGUUGGACCUGAGUUUGCACCCCCUAAGUAAACAUUAUUACCGAACCAGUGAUAGUAGAAGACACUAGCCCAAGGUGCCAUGUGGUAGGACUGAACCUGAAAUCACAUGGUUGCUAAGUGGUUAAUUACGUAAUGAUGCCUAAAACUAAAUAAAGACUAAAUUGGAUGGGAUGCUUGUGUUCAAAAGCCUUUCUUUUUUGUUGUUUUUUUUCUCCCCACUUGCUGGGGGCAGGUUACAUGGCUUUGCAGACCCCCAUAUACUGUUAGAUGGAUACUAUUAAUGUUCUAUUUGAACUUCUAUAAAUCAACACCAGCAGGAAAGAUAUGAGCAGGAAGGGAAUUCCAGAGGGCUUAACCCUUUCAUUACUGUAUUUAUUUUGAGAUACUCUGUGCUUCUUUCAAUUACUUUAAAUAUAACAAAGAAUUUGGUAAAAUAACUUAAUUAUCAUUAAGCUAGUGUUAGAAACAUAAAUUGUGACUAAGGUUUGGUAGAAGAUUUUAAUUCAAAACUGUUGAAAACAAGGCAUUUGUACUCAGACCCAGAGGCGGUUUCAGCCGGGUUGGUAACAAAAGGGUUAAUGUACUUGGAAGUAAGGCAGUUCGUGUCACCACCACCCCACCCACCCACCAGACUGCCUCUUUGGACCUCCAUGGCAAGUACCAAGUGCUGUACAAGAUUACAAAGAGUAAGGUUGACGAUGGGGACUGCCCCAGAAUAGCAGUUCACUUGCCAGUUGAUGACCAAGCAUUGUCUCAUGGCACAAAUCUUCCACUUCACUGCAGUAACCAUCAAGUCAUUGGUCUAGGACUCUUCCACCUUGUCACUUAUCCAACAUCCUGAUGUCAACAUCUUCGCCAUAUCAUUGUCACAGAAGGCUAAGAGGUCGCUAGACUGGGAUGACACCUGAUUCUCUAACGAUUCCAUUAAUUCAAUACCUUCUACAAAAGAUACACAUAUACACACAUACACACACACAUAUACAUACGCAUGCACACACAUAAAUCCACACUAAUUUAAUUAAUUCUGUCUUGUUACAUUGUGUAACCCUUGGCUUCCUAACGGUUGGUGUGAAGGUGAUAAUGUAAUAUGUUGAACGAAAACAAAAUAAAACUAAGAUGUAAUUGAUAUUUUUAUAAACCAUUCAUAUUAAUGAUUUUACAAUAAAUUUUCAUAAUACUUGGAUUUUUAUAGCCUUUCAUUCCACUGAAAAUGGACAGCAAGGCUAUUGUUCAUGUCUGAUCCACACAUUCAUAGUUUUAGCUGUAGUUUUAGAUUUCAUUGUUGUCUUUUUUGUUAUCUGAAUUAUUAUGUAUGUGUGUGCACGUGUGUGUGUUUCUCUCCCAGUCUAUUUCUCUCUUACACACACACAUACAUAAAUAUAUAUAGAUAGAUAUACAUACAUACACAUAUACACACACACACACGCACACACACAUAUAUAUAUAUACACACAGAAAAACACACAUUUAUAUCACUUAUACGUGUAUAUAUCAUUUAUGUAUACAUACAUAUAUAUAUAUAUAUACAUGUAUACGUACAUUGUGCCUCCAAAACUUUCAGAGAAAUUCAGCCUAUGAUAAUACUCUCUAUCAAAAAGAGAAUAACACAAGUAUGAAUGUAUAUAUUGUGUGUGUAUAGGUAGAUGUAUAUAUAUAGGUAUAUAUAUAUAUAUAUAUAUAUAUACAUAUAUGUAUGUAUAUGUUUAUAUAUAUAUAUAUAUAUAUAUAUAUAUAUAUAUAUAUAUAUAUAUAUACAUAUAUAUAUAUACACACAUAUGUAUGUAUAUACACAGAUAUUUGUGAUCAUAAAAUAUCAAAUGAUAGUUAUAAAUAUAUCAUCUAUUAUUACUUUGAUGCGCAAACCCCUCCAGUCAUGAACAUAAUUUUGGGACCAAACAUAUAUUUUUCUGCUAGUAUCCUUAUGUGUCUACGCAUCUAUUUCUAUGUGUAUAUGUAUUUGUGUGUAUGCAUGUAGGUGUGUGUACAUAUAUAAGCACCCCUAAAUUUUCUUUACAGAAAGCUGCUAUUAUAUGAAUGGCUCCAUAUGAUUCAAAUAGAUGUCAUUAGAACACAGAAAGAAAAUACUGUUACAAGAAUGGAAAUGUAAUACUAUUGAAAUAAGUAUAGUGGACCAGUAUGCUAUAGCCGAAUACAGAGCAGUGUAGAUUUUCCAUAAACCAGCAUAGGCAUAACACAAAGCAGCCCAUUAAUAAGUCUUUGUCAAGGAGUAUCUGGGAUACGAGUAAGAAGUGCCCAAUAUCUUUACAAAUAACAGUACAGGCUCAUAUAAAUUCUGUUGGGGGUGUGGGAAGGAUUAGACGGAAAAAGACGGAAAUCAUAUGAAUUCCUUAGAAAUAUCAAUGCCUUCCUCACAUGAGAAUUAGAUAGAUAGAUAGAUAGAUAGAUAAGCAUGCUCACAUACUCACUCAUGUUUACAUGCAUGUGUGUGUGUAUGUAAUAUUAUACAUAUAUUGUUUGUAUCAUCAUCAUCAUUUAACAUCUGCUUUCCAUGCUGGCAUCGGUUGGUAGGUUUGACUGAGGACUGGCAAGCCAGGAGGCUAUACUAGGCUCCAAUCUGUUAUGGCAAGGUUUCUACAGUUGAAUGCCCUUCCUAACGCCAACCACUCCAAGAAUGUAGUGGGUGCUUUUACGUGCCACCGGCACAAGGGCCAGUCAGGCGCUACUGGUGGCAUUUACUAGCAAAGGGACGUAAUUCAGCUAUCCUCGCUAGUCUGCUACAGCAUCUCCAAUCUGAGACCAAUGUCGGUAACUUUCAGAAUUUGUAGUAGAGCAGAUUAAGGUAAUAACACAAAGGGAGGAGGAAAGGAAAAAAACAAUACUGUUUGUCACUUAUACCACAGUUCAUACUAAACUAUCGAAUUCCAUAUUCUGACUGCAAUAAGACAUGCAACUAUUUACCAGCAACAAAAUAAGAUGAAAGAACUAUUCUUUUACAAGUGAAUUACCAUAUUUUAAAGAGAGUAGUAAUUGAACUUCUCUUUUAGUUCUCUACUGACAAACUUUACAUCAGUCACAUUACUGCAGAGUAAGCUACUUGCAUGUUGCAUUCUAAAUUCUAUGGUUUUGGCUGAUAGCACUGACAUUACAAAUCUAUUAUAAAUACAGACUAUAUCAUCAUUUGCAUUGAGAAGCAUUAAUUACCUUUCUCCGGCAGACAUUGCAUCAGUAUUUUCACGAGGAUUAUCAAUCUGCUUUUCUUGGACAAUCUUCACAUGUUAUUUUAGGAAUGUCUAAUUUUAGAAGCCACAUUGGACAUUAGCCAUUAAGUAACUAACACAAGUGGACAACAAACUGAACUGUACACAUGCAUAUUUGUCCAUAUGUGUGAAUGCAUGUGUGUGUGUGUGUGUGAUAUGUGUAUCAUUAUCAUCAUCAUCAUUUUAACAUUCAAUAAACUCAGAGUUUAUAGAGGCUGGUUUUUCUAUGGCUGUUUCCUGUUUCCAAGCAAGGUUAAUGUUUCCUCAUGAUCAGGCAUGUUUCCUUAGAAUUUUGGAAAUGAAUGACACUGCUUCUAUGACAGACAAUGGCAAUCACACAACAUCAUGACAACGUGAUACAAACAUGCACAAAUUCAUGCUCAUGCACUCAUAUACACAUAGACAGAUCUUCAAACAUGGUGGGCUUCUUUUAGUUUCUGUCAACCAAUGCUACUCACAAGGUUGACCUAGGGCUGAAUGCAGAGAUAUCUGCCCAGGGUGCCAUGAGGUGGAAUUGAACCCAAAAUUAUAAAAUGUGAUUGGGAGGCAAACUUCUUUACCACACAUUCAUGUCUAUGCCUAUUCACAUACAUAUAUAUUGUGUAUAUAUAUAUAUAUAUAUAUAUAUAUAUAUAUAUCUGUCCUUGUUUUCCUUGUAUCAUCUGUCUGGAUAUUUUGUUUUCCUUUGUUUGUUUCACCUAGCUGUCUAGAUGUUUUGUGUUUUUGUCCCAUUUUUGUAUUUUAUAUAUAUAUAUAUAUAUAUAAAAAUAAAUAUUAGGGAAUAAAUCCAAAUUUACAAGGAAAAAUCAGAUUUAAGAUUGAAUCCAAUUUUAUAGUAAAAUAUUAUAUUAUAAUAAAUUAGAGACAAAACCACUUUUAUGCAAAUCAAACAAAGAAAGACUUAAGCCAGUCUUUCUUUGUUUGAUUUGCAUAAUAGUGGUUUUGUCUCUAAUUUAUUAUAAUAUAUAUAUAUAUAUAUAUAUACAUAUAUGAAGCUUUGGCUGUUAUUUCUAGUGGGUGAAUGGCCUAUUAUGGCCGUUCCUUGAUUGUGAUAUAUAUACAUAUAUAUAUAUAUAUGCAUAUGUGUGAGCAUAUAUAUAUAUACACACACACAUACACACAUGUGUGUGUGUGUAUGUGUUAUUGUGGCCUAAGCUCUACAGACAGUUACAUACAAUGGCGAGAACUUAGGACAUAGUUUACAGUGAUUCACAUCGUUUUGUCUCUUUUUUUUUUUGUCUGGUUUGUGAUACCAGCACUUGACUGAUCAACAUUAUGGUAAAUGCCGUUUCUUUUUCUCUGCUCCUCCCACCACCACUGCUAAUUAACAGGAACUAGUAAGUGUGAUAAUGGUUUUAUAAUUACCAUCUUAUUUGCUGAAAUUGAUUGUUACUCCAUAAUCACGCAUCACAUUGCUGAAGCAUCUCAAGGAAAAGCCUGGAGCAAUUUAAAGCUAUUUUUGUGUCUUUUGUCUUUUGUUUUUUGUUGUUUUUUUUUUAUAUUUCAUGUGGUUUGUAGUUUUUUCAUGUUUGUGUGUGAAGCAACUGAGGGCCAGACAGGAAACAUGUAUUCUUGGAUCUGUAGAAUGAAGACCAUUAUAUUUUCCCCUAUAUAGUGACAAGUAUUUCUUUUUGUUAGUUUCGUCUGGAAGUCAUGAGUUCUUUUAACACUUGUUUGACCAUAUUUUUUUAUGCAAAAGUACCUGUGCAUUUUAACUGAUUUUGGGAAAAACUUAAGAAUUAAAAAUUUGGAAGGGUUUAGUAAAAAGAAAACAAGCUACAACUGUGGCUGUGUGGUAAGUAGCUUGUUUACCAACCACAUGGUUCCGGGUUCAAUCCCACUGUGUGGCACCUUGGGCAAGUGUCUUCUACUACAGCCUCGGGCCGACCAAAGCCUUGUGAGUGGAUUUGGUAGACGGAAACUGAAAGAAGCCCGUCGUAUAUAUGUAUAUAUAUAUAUAUAUAUAUAUAUAUAUAUAUGCGUGUGUGUGUUUGUCCCCCUAGCAUUGCUUGACUACCGAUGCUGGAGUGUUUAUGUCCCCGUUACUUAGCGGUUCGGCAAAAGAGACCGAUAGAAUAAGUACUAGGCUUACAAAAGAAUAAGUCCCGGGGUCGAGUUGCUUGAUUAAAGGCGGUGCUCCAGCAUGGCCGCAGUCAAAUGACUGAAAACAAGUAAAAGAGUAGUGUUUCUAUUUGUAAAAUAUAUAUAAAAACUAGUAAUUCUAGGUCAAGUUUGCUUUCAGUGGUUGGGGAUUAUUAACCCUUUAGCAUUUAAACCAGCUGUAUGCAGCCCGAAUAUUCUAUCUGUUUUAUGUUUAAACCAACCAGAUUUGAUCUCUCACACCUACUCUACAAUGUCAUUCUAGAAGUGCAUCAAUCAAAUUAUUGAAUUCUCAAAGCUGAGAGUUACAUGAUUAAUUCAAACCAAUGUGUAAAAAUAAGCUUUACAUUCGACAGAAUCAUCUGAAUGCGAAAGGGUUAAGAUACCAAUGUUUUUCUUUGUCAUAAUAAUUAUUGUAUCUUCUUUUAUUUUUUACUUGUCUCAGUCAUUGGACUACAGCCACACAGGGGCAUUACCUUGAAGGGUAUAGUCAAACAAAUUGACACAGGUACUUAUUUUUCUACAUUUCAGUUUCUUUUGCUGAAUUGGGAAUGUAAAUAAACCAACAUCAGUUGUCAAGUGGUGGGUUGAUGAACACGUGCACACACACACACACAAUAGGCUUCACACAGUUUCUUUCUACCAAAUUAAAUCACAAGGCAUUGGGAGGUAUGGGGCUAUAGUAGAGACAGUUUUCCAAGGCGUCACACAUUGGGACUGAACCUGAAACUAUGGGUUGCCAAGAGUGCUUCUUAACAAAAGCCAUAUUGUCUUAGCAAAAGAGGCUCUUAUCUAGAACUAGCAGUAUCGCCCGGCGUUGCUCGGGUUUGUAAGGGAAAUAACUAUAUAAGCAGUUUUAGAGAGUUAUAGCCAAAAAAAUGCAUUAAAAAUUGAAAAAAAAUUAUGGUAAAUUUUUUUUUAAAUUGUUGACACAUCGUAGACAUUUUUAGAGAGUUACUUCCCUUAUAUAAUAGCGAAAAAAUGCAUUAAAAUGGAAAAAAAUGAUGGUAAAUUUAUUUUUAAAUCGUAGACUCAUCGUAGACACGCGCUAAUACCCAGAAAGGCUCGAUAUGAAUCACGACUAUAAGAUACCCGCUUUUGGUUAAACUACACCGCAAAAUGUGGGAGUAGUUAGGAAUCUAAAUUGUAGCAGAUGGACACACAACUUCUCUUUUAUAUAUAAAGAUUAAAGCGAAAGUUUAAUUUCUAUGUGAGCACUUCAAUGCAAGAAUAUUGUAUCAGAGCCAAAAACAGUUAUGCAAGCUGGCUUCAUGGUGGUUAACUGUAUUAAGCAGUAUGUAUGGUUUUGUUUCAGUGUUGCCAUGUUUGGUCUAUGUUAGGUUGGUGUUGAAAGUAAGGCCUGGUAUUUUGGAGUUUUUUGCUUUUUGGCAGGGAGGGGUACAGUAUAUAAUGUGUAUAUUGGGUGUUAGAUUGUGUACAGCUAGAUCUAUUGUAAAAAGGGGUUUUUUUGUGGGGUAGAGGCUGUGUUGAAUACAUACAACACCAUAGGUAUGACUGAAAUUAUAGUACUCUCAGAAUUCAUAUGGGUUAUGACUCAGUGGUUAGAGUGUCAGGUAGUGAGUUUGAUUCCUGACCUGGACAAUGUGUUGCAUUCUUGAGCAAGACACUUUAUUGUCCUGUUUCUCCAGUUCAUUCAGCUGUAGAAAUGAGUUGCAAUGUCACUGGUGCCAAGCUGUAUCGGUCUUUGCCUUUCCCUUGGAUAACAUUGGUGGCACGGAGAGGGGAGAGUGGUAUGCAUGGGUGAUUGCUGGUCUUCCAUAAACAACCUUGCCCAGGCUUGUGCCUUGGAGGGGAACUUUCUAAGUGCAAACCCAUGGUUAUUCAUGACUGAAGGGGUUUUCUUUAUAGAGUGUGUGAUCGCACCUGCAUAUAUCAUGAAAUUUGUUAUUGUUGUUGUGGUGGUGGUGGUGGUGGUGGUGGUGGUUGGUGUAGAUGUGUCUAACAUACAUAGAUUGAAGAAAGCAGGUGAUAGGAUUCAACCUUGUGGGACUCCUAUCUUAUGUGUCUUCUUUCUCAUCUUGAUUGUCAUUGCUUUCAUAGAUAUUUGUUCUAUUAUGGCAAGAAAUCACUAAUCUGAGAGCUAAUUAGUCUUGAUAGUGCUUUACUAGAGUUCCUCAAUGAUAACUGAGACUUGUCAAACAUCUGCCAGUGUCAAUAAAAUUAAUUUAAGCUCUAAAGGGAGAGAAAUAAGAAAGCCUGUUGUAUUAUUCGCAAGUAGGAAGAAUAAAGAGAAUAAAGAAACAAUCUAUUUGUUCAUUAAGUUAACGAUACAUCUCGACAGCAGCGAAAAUAUAAGACAUCUGAUUAUCAACUUGAAUAAGUAAAGAAACUAGUCUAUUCAAAACUCUACUUUAUCAAAUAGAGAGAACCUGAAUCAAUGAGGGAGUCAUGAUUAGGUCGUCUGUUUCGUCCAGAAGUAGUAAUCAAAUCUUUUAAAAAUUAUUCUCUGCUAUCUUUAAAAAACACACUGGAUAUUGCAGUUCUAGAUGCUAGAGAAAACCAGGAUGGGCAUGGUUGGAAUGUCCCUGAUUGUCCCACUAUUCAAUCAGUGCUGAAUCCAGAUUAAAUAACAGUAAAUAUAUAUAAAUUUGACAAACAAUAACUGAAUAUAAAUCAUUUAUAAGUAAAAUGUAUAUAAAAGCAAAUAACUUUAGCUCAAGUUUGCUUUAAAUGCUUAGAGAUUAUUAAGCAGCUGUUGUAUUUUUUUUAUCUUGAUGAUGAUGAUGUUAUAAUAUAAUUGUAUAUUAAUAUUGUCUUAAAUGAAGAGGAUCAAUAAAGAUGCUCCUUCUAAUAGCUAAUUUUGUAACAACAUGUCUAUUGUCUUUUGAGAUAAAGUAAAGAGGUUUGUCAAUAAGAUUAUAAAUUCAACUCUUUGCAAGAACAAAAACAAUAAUGGCCUGACUUCACAUAAACACUUGGUUCUUGAACCAUUUUGGUCAUUGAUCAAUUCACAAACCACUAGUGCUGUUACCACCACCACCAACAACAACAACAACACCGCCACCACUACCUCCACUACCACCAGUACCACCAGAACUAUUAUUAAACAAAUAAAGGAAAAAAACUCUUUGUAUUAAAGUAAUAUAAUUGACAAUAAUAAAAUUAAUUUACUCUUAAAAGUUUUAUUGGCAGUCUCUAUGUCUCAGAAAGUUUCAUUUAUAAAUUCAAAUAUGUUGGAUACCAGCCGGAGUGGCAGUAAAGAUAGAAGAAGAAUAGCGCUAAGAAUCAGAGCAAUGGCAAAGCUAGUACUGAGUAUAAGGUAGCUCUGUGUGUGUGUGUGUGUGUGUGUGUGUGUGUAGACAAACAAAAGAAGGGCACUCAACACAUUUAUUGGGAAUUACAUGUAUGGAUCAAAACAGUUUGAAUCAAACAUACAUUAUUAUCAUCAUCAUCAUCAUCAUCAUCAUCAUCACCAUCAUUUAAUAUCUGUUGUCCAUGCCAUGGGUUGGAUGGUUUGAACGGGCUGGCAUGCUGGAAGGCUGCACCAGACUCCAGUCUGAUUUGGCAUGGUUUUCUAUGGCUGGAUACCCUUCCUAAUGCUAACCACUCCAAGGAUGUAAUGGGUGCUUUUACAUGCCACCAGGGUGUGUUUACGUGCCACUGGCACUUGUGCCAGUAUGUGUGACACUGGUAUCUGCCACAACUGUGAUUUUGUUCAGCAUGACGGGUAUUCUUCUCAAGCACAAUAUAAUGCCAAAGGUCUUGGUCAUUGCCUCUGUGAGGCCCAUCACUCGAAAGGAAUUCAGCCACUUUGCCUCCAUGAGGCCCAAUGUUCGAAAGGAACCCAGUCACUUUAUAUAUAUAUAGAUAUACAGAGAGAGAGACAGACAGACAGAGAGACAGAGACAGACAGACAAAUAGAUAGAAAUUAAUAUAAGCAGCUAGCCACAAUACAAAGCCAUAUAGAAAAAAAUUAGUUGACACUAAUUGUGAAUGUGGGUGCUAAAAGUACGGUUAUAGCUAGAAAUAAGAGUAAAAAUUCCUAUAGUUGUAUGGUUCUAGCUUUGCUCAUGAGGCAGUUAUCUACUCUGUCAGUAUAAAAAAAUGUGCUUUUCAUGCAGUCAUGAAGCUACAAAAGUUUUAACACUUAUUUCUAGUGAUAUAUCAAUACAUAAAAAUUUUUAAUAUAAAGAAAUUUAUUUCUUUAUAUUAAAAAUUUUUAUAUUAAAAAUUUUAUAUAUAUAUAUAUAUAUCAAAUAUUAUUGAGUAUCACAGUAACAGUAAAGAUAGAUAGAGAGCAAUGUGGAAUGUGGAGUAUUAGAAUAUCAUCAGUAAAGAUGAUAAGAAUAAAGGACACAUAGUGCUGAGUAUCAGCAUACAAGUAGAAACAUCAGAGUAACAGUCAAAAUAAAAGACAAAUAAGAGUUGAGUGUCAGAGAAAGAGUAAAAUAUUAACAGUAGAGGACAAAUAACAUUGGGCAUUAGAGCAUCAUUUGAAAAUAGGUUUUCUUUAUAAAGAAAACCAAACAGAAAACAAUGUUCAACUUAAUGUGGAUGCUUUGCUAUAACACAAAAUACUGUGUUAUUUAUCCAGAGAGAACCUCCCAUAAUGCAGUAUUGUUGUCCUAAAAAGCAUCCACAUUAAGUUGAAUAUAAAGAUUGCCGCUUGGUACUAAUACUGCUUCUGUCACAAUUAUUUUAGAUACUAGUGUUGUUUUAUGACAAAAACUGGUCAAGCUAUAGACACUAUAAUGUUUUUACUGCAGUUGAUGUGUUUUGUAAUAGGUCACCACUCCAGUCAGUCCUCUAUGAACAAACUUAUAGCACAAUGAAAAGUGAAAGGUCUGAGGGUAGAAGGCUGCUGUUUAGGUAAUGGAUGGCCUCAAAGUAAAUUUUGCUGAGAAAAUGUUUUUCUUUUUUUAUAAAUGAUAUUUUGUGACACUUCACAAUUAGACUGAUAUUUAUUUAAGCAAUAAAAAGAUUAGUUUUUAUCAUUGCUGGAAAAGAUUAAUCUGAUUAAAACUCUAUUUCCAAAAUGUCACAGAAUAUCCUAAAUACAUACAUACCAACACACACACACACAUUACAUACAUAGAUAGGUGCAAGCAUAGCUGUGUGGAUAAGAAGCUUGCUUUUGCAACCAUGUGGUUCAUGGUUCAGUUCCACUGUGCAGGAUCUUCAGCAAGUGUUUUCUACCAUAGAUCUGGGCCAACCAAUGCCCUAUGAAUAAAUUUGGUAGACAAAAACUGUGUGGAAACUUGCUGUGUGUGUGUGUAUGUAUGUAUGUAUGUAUGUAUGUAUGUAUGUAUGUAUAUAUAUAUAUAUAUAUAUAUAUAUACAUACAAGAUCUGACUGGGCCUGACGAAGGCAGCUUCACAGACAAACAAUUGUACCUAGUCCAACCCAUGCUAGCAGGAAAUAUAAAUAAAACAAGUCUUUAACGUUUCGAGCCUAUAUAUAUAUAUAUAUAUACAUACAAGAGUAAGCACAUAAAUGCGAAACAACAUGGAGAAAAUAGUACUUGAAUACCAGCAGUAUUGUAAAGCAGAAAAAAUACCACAAAAACUGUUACUCACAGUUUCAUGUACCCAUUUGUCCGAUGAACAGUAACAUGAAACUCUGAGUAACAGUUUUUGUGAUAUUUUUGCUGCUUUUUAAUGAAGUAUAUAUAUUUAUAUACAAACACAUAUGCAUUCACACAUAUAUAUACACACACACACAUAUAUAUAUAUAUACAUGCAUGUGUGUGUGUAUAUAUAUAAUAUAUAUACACAUGCAUGCAAGUGUGUGUGUGUGUGUGUGUGUGUGUGUGUAUUUAUAAUUCAAAAUCCAAAAUUAGGGAAUGGUGUACAUAAAAUCCAGGUUUCAUAUUUUUCAUAGAUAGCAGAACCUUGGAAAUAGUGAUUGUCCAAAUGAGGAGUAAUCCACUGGGGUAUAAGUGUACUAGAGUAUUAGUUUGUAUGUAUGUAUGUAUGUAUGUAUGUAUGUAUGUAUGUAUGUAUGUUUAUAUACAAAUUGGCGUGUGGGGUUUGUUAAAGUACUUUUUGUGGAGCAGUAGGGAAGAUGUGUAUUUCAAGGACUGAGAUUACAAUAUACAUCUUUAAUAUGCUUCUUUUUCACAAAUAUCAGCACACAAAUCUAUGAGACAGUCUUUACACUGUCACUCAACCAGUCAGAGACGCCUGGAAAAUCUCCCUGCAACCCUUCCUCUCAUGUUAAGAAAAUGGUACAUUGUCUAAUGUGAUCUUGGAUUAGGUAUACUUAGGUAAGAAAAAAAAAAGAAAACUUAAGUAACUGGAAUAUCCUUGAUCCCAUAUCUGCCUGAAAAGGACUGACCCUGGACCUAAACAACAGCAGCUGAAGCAACAAGGAAGGUUUUUAAGUGGUUACUAAAUUUGCUAAACAUAGCAUUGAAAUCUACUUCGAUCACAUUUUAUUAUAUUAGAAAGAGUAAGCCAGUGAGCUGGCAGAAUCGUCAGCACACUGGAUGAAAUGCUUAGCAGUAUUUUGCCUGUUGCUAUGGUCUGAGUUCAAAUUCUGCUGAGGUUGACUUUGCCUUUCAUCCUUUCGGGGUCAAUAAAUUAAGUAGCAGUGAAAUACUGGGGUUGAUGUAAUCGACUAUUCCCCCUUUCCCAAAAUUUCGGUCCUUGAGCCUAUAGUAGAAAGGAUUAUAUUAGAAAAGGCACAUUGUCUAAAUAAUGAGGUUUUAGAUUAUCUGUACAGGUGAGUUGUGAUUGGAACACCUUUGAUCAUAGGUCUGCUCAAUCUGAGCUGGCCUAGGGUUAAAUAACAAUGAAGGUGGCAAUCAUGUAGCACCAUAAAUUUGAUUGGUUGGUUCUAAAAAAGAAAUUUUUUUUUUAAAUCAAGAACUUUGCUUGAAUUGUGGUUUACACCUAUAUAUGUGAGGUUGCUAAUGCUCAAUCUCAGAUUCAGGAGUAGUUUAAAAUUUUCGUGAACAUUUGAUGGUUAAAUAGUCAAGCUGAUCCAUUAAGAUGUAUUCCCUCCUAUCCUUCUUGUAACAUUGCAAAGAUAGAGUAACUUAGAGAGAAAGAGAAUUAGGUAGAGAGAGAGAGAGAAGAGAGAGAGGGAAAGGGUGAAAGAGGGUGAGAGACUUUCUGACAAAUAAAUUAAUUUGAUUUAUCAGCUAGCUGGCACAGGGAGCUGACAGUUUUUCUUAAUACACAACCAGCAAGCCUGCAAGAGUGGCUUGUGUCAGUUAGUAAAGAAGCCUAAGUAAUGCUUGCCUUCACAGAAACAAAUGCUGUCAGAGCAUGAAAUGUAGGAUUCAUUUACAUGCAUCUCUGUAAAACAUCACGCUCAAUCUAUGUAGAGGCGUGUAUAUAUAUAUAUAUAUAUAUAUAUACACACUUCGUUUUGCAGUGAAAGCAGACUCACACUAUAUAUGGGAGGGAAAAAAUAAAACUUAAGUAAGGAUUCGCUGACAUCCCUGCAGACCAUCUCAGCAUGCCAUUCAUUUCUUUCGUCUCUUACAAACUGUAAUGUCCAUCUCACACUUAUUUCCUCUCUCGCACAAACACACAUGACCGAACACAUAUAUAUAUUCACACAUACACACACAUGUUCACGUACACACAGAUGCAUUCACACAAAUGUGUAUAUAUAUAUAUAUAUAUAUAUAUAUAAACAUACACAUAGUCACCUACAUAUACACACACACACACACACACAUAUAUAUAUAUUCACAUGCAUACACAUUCACAUUUUCAUCCACUUGAUUGAUUUAUUUUUGCAUUCUGUGCUUGUUUGGAUUCUCUCAUCGUCCUGUGGUAAUUUGCAAAUCACAGUUCAUCUGUUACUGCAUAGUUCACAGCUUUAUAAAGGCAUGCAUGCGUGUGCAUCUGUGUGCACAUUUGCAUGUAUGUGAUAUAUAUAUAUAUAUAUAUAUAUAUAUAUAUAUAUGUUUGUGUAUGUAUGUACAUAUACAUGUGUCUGUGUUUGUGUGUUUGUGUGUUAGUAAUGAAUGUGUAUGCACGUAUAUUUAUUAUUAUAUUUGCAAAUCAAAUUGUAUCAGAAACAGCAAUAUUCUGAAUAAAGUGAACUCAAUACACUAAGUGGAGAAGAUAUAUUUUAUAAUAUAUUAAUUACAGUUGACUGAAUGUGCAUUGCUUUAAGUUUCUUCCUAAACAAAGUAAUCUGCUAAUGUUCUCUCACCCAACCAAGAAGUUCUUUCAAAUGUUACAGUUUUAUCAUUAACAUUUGGUAGCAAAGAUUAGACAUGAUUCAUGCAUAAAUCCAAUUGUUCAAUAGAAUACCAACAAAAAUCUAUACCAAAUAUAAAUUUACAUAUAUGCAUAUUGUGACAAUAUAUAUACAUAUGUACAUACAUACAUGCAUAUGUGUGUAUGUAUAUGUAUGUAUUUAUCUCCCUCUUUCUUUCUCUCUCUCUCUCUCUCUCUCUCUCUAUUUAUAUAUAUAUAUAUGUAUAUACAUAUAUAUAUAUAGAGAGAGAGAUAGAUACAUACAUACAUACAUACAUACAUAGAGAGGGACAGAGAGAGAGGGAGACCAUGAAAGAGAAGGAGAUAUUUAGUUGUCAAUAUCUGGGACGAGCUUUGGAAAGACAACUAUAGGGUUAUUAUCCAGGCAUGGCUUUGUGGUAAGAAGCCUGCUUCCCAACCACAUGAUUCCAGGUUCAGUCCCACUGUGUGGCACCUUGGGCAAAUCUCUUCUAUUACAGCCUCAGGCUGACCAAAGCUUUGUGAGUGGAUCUGGUAGAUGGAAACUGAAAGAAGCCUGUUGUAUAUACAUAUAUGUAUAUAUUUGUGUGAGUGUGUGAGUCUGUGUCUGUCUUCUGCCAUGACUUGGCAGCUGACAUUGGUGUGUUUAUGUUCACAUAACUUAGCGGUUCAGCAAAA
rnacentral:lncRNA from 1 species